rnacentral:lncRNA from 1 species
CCUCGUGCUUCUUCUUCUUCUCCUUCUUUUUCUUCUUCUCUUCACCGUGGGCGGCGCCCUCGCCGCCGCCGACACCGGGGAUCUUCUGCUUGAUCUUGUCCACCAAGCCCUCCUUGUGUUCGCCCUCCUUGUGUUCCCCGCCGUGAUGCUGCUGCUGAUGGUGAACAUCAGUAGUGCCGACACCGGGGAUCUGCUGCUUGAUCUUGUCCACCAAGCCCUCCUUGUGUUCGCCGCCGUGAUACUGCUGCUGAUGGUGGACAUCAGUAGUGUGGUGGUCCCCACUAUGGUGCUCUCCCUUGUGCUUGUCCUCCUCCUUUUGCCCUCCUCCCAUGUGAAGGGCUUCUCCGAUCUUGUGAAUAACUCCUGACAUUUUCCCUUAAAAUGACUCUGUUCCUCUUCUUUUCUUUUCAAUGAAAAAUAGUUGUUUGCGAUCUUCUUCUGGUUGUUGUUGUUCUUGUUGGGUGAUCUUGGCUUGGUAUUUAUAGGCUCCAAAAGGAGGGACUAGAAUUAGGAUUAGAUUAUAGAUUAUUUUAAUACAUUUUAUGGCAAAUUCUGAUUUGGAAAGAUAAGAUUAUCCUUUUGGUUUUCCUUAUUUACCCUUUUGCACCCAUUACGUGUACGCGUCUUCGUGGGCUUUUUGGGUAUUUCAAUUAUAUCGCCAAUGCUAAAUCGACACGUUGCAUAUCAGCCGCGGUACUGCCGUAUGUAGUUGUCCAGAAAUCGAGUCGAUUCUCGAUCGUACAAUAAUUAAAUAAUAUUUCAUACGAAAUGAGUUUAGAUAUAUUUUGAAAAUUUAUUUUUAAUUUAAUUAUACGUGUUAUAUAUUUGUUAAUCGAAUAGAGGUCCCACGUAACAGAGUGUUUCUCUAAUCUUUCAUUGCUUUUAAUUAAUUUUACCCAAAUAAAAAAAAAAAGGAAAAUUUAGAGAGAGAGAGAGAGAUAGCGAAUUAGAAGUUGAUUGUAAUAUCGACACCUGUCAGACAAUCAAAUAUCGUUAGUUAAAAAUCAGUUGUCCAUAGUCAUGGUCAUAGAUGGCGAAAUUGAUACUUAUUUUAAAAAACAAAACAAAACAAAACGAAACGAAACUAAACUAACAGAUGUUGAAAUGCAGUUCCGUGUUAACAGUCUGUGAUGAAUCUUUAUCUUUGAGUAUACCAUUCAAGAAAUUAUCAUUCAAAAAUUUAUUUAAAGCAGCAGCAAAUCACCUUCUAAUUCCUGAAUCAAAUUAAUUCGAUUUUUUUCGAGUCGAUCAAUUCAUUAGAGAAUUAACGGGCUAAGUUAAAGUUUUGUUAGUUAUUUUUUUUUAUAUUCCUUUAGAUGAUAUGAUUGUCAUUGUCUUUCUUUCUCUGGGCAACAAUAAAUACAAGAUGUGCAAAAGCGUAGUGGAACAUAAUUCGAUUAUGGGUAAAGGGAUCAGUCCGCAUAAUGAGGAUAAAGUUUUUCUCUUUAAAAAAAUUUAACCCAAAGAAAAGGUCGUAGUUUGUAAUAGCCGACACGCAGAUAGAUCACAAAGCAUGGCGGUCCUGAUGGCAAUAACUAACUGAUAUCUUCUGCGAUGAGAGGAGAUCACGUGGUUCUGACACGUAUCGCCCCAUCAACUGAUGUUGUGGCUGCAAUCGCGGCCCAGUCUUUAGAGAGAAGAAAGAUCUGUUAUAACGGGACCUACUUUAGCAUCUAUUUACGACAAAGCCCCUAUUUACUCUACUUAGUAGUAAUAAUAGCAAGUGUCGGGCUUGGAUUCCGUGUUGCUUUAAAUAAAUAUCCGCGUAAAAAGAAAAUGCUUCUUUAAUCCCUUCCUUGUAAUUUUUCGACACGUGGAUGGUUGAAAUUAGCGUGCCGACAUCUUAGGAAUUUUAUCUUGGAGACGGGAACACUGCAGUAGGCAAUGCCAUUUUCUUCGGAUGGUGUGUGGUGACAACGCCUUGGAUUUUGACGUGCAAAGAAUUUAAAUUGAAAAAGAAAAAAAGAAAUUACCAGAAUAAGCAUAGAAGAGAUAUUUUUCUUUUUGUCCUUUUUGGAAUGGAAAAAGAGAUCAAGAGAUUGUUCCAGUAAGUAUUACACAUGUCACAGGCUUAUUCAUGCCCCAUUAUGGCAACUUUUAUGCCUCGCGGUGCCCUCGGUUCCAGCAUAAUAGCUAAGACUUCAAUUUUUCUAACAUAUUUUUGUUACAAAUAUGAACGGAGUAAAUGUAUAACUUUAAUCCUUUGAAUAAAGAAAUGGCGGUUCUCCUGCUCGUUAAUCUCACUUGAAUCCCACCCAGGCAAAAUUUCUUUAUUUUAUUUAACAACAAUUUAAAGAAAGAAACUUUUGCCAGGUUGAAUUUCAAGUGAGAUUCAUUCGUGGGAGAAGUGCCAUUUCUUUAUUCAAAAGAUUAUGGUAAUUACAACUUUCAAUUUCGACAUAAAUUAAAAUUAUAGGCUAUACAAUAAAAUUGCCCUAAAUUAGUCCUAAUCAAUUCAGAUUAUAAAUUUAGGUAUAUUUAUUAUUUUAAUAUAUUAAUGUUCUAUAUAUAUAUAUAUAUAUAUAUAUAUAUGUGUGUGUGUGUGUGUAUNNNNNNNNNNNNNNNNNNNNNNNNNNNNNNNNNNNNNNNNNNNNNNNNNNNNNNNNNNNNNNNNNNNNNNNNNNNNNNNNNNNNNNNNNNNNNNNNNNNNNNNNNNNNACAGCAGAAAAUAUUUGCUAUGGAUAAGGAGACAUGGUCCCACGUCCCACCGUCCCAAUGCAUAUUUUGUAUGUUUCCAUCUUUUCUGAAAUUUUAAUAAAUAAAGUUUUUUGACCACUUGGCCAAAGAACCUUACCCUUACACAACUUUGUGGUUGGAGUCCUGUGAUACAUGUAAGAACUUAUUUUUUUUCUUAAUUAUAAUAUUUUAGAAUAUAAUUAAGUGAAGUAGGUUUUUUUUUUAAAUAUGAGUAAAAUAGAUAUUUUUUAAAUAUUAAAGAGAGUAAAAUUUGAAUAAUAAUAUAUUAAAAUUAAUACAAACUAAUUUUAAUAAUUAUUUAAUUAUAAAUAUCAAUUAUAACAUCAUAUAAUAUCAAUUAUAAUAUCGUACAUCUCAAUUAAUUCAAUAAUAAUAAUAAUAAAUGUUUUUUGGGAUAAGUAAACAGUCGCAUGGCGACAAUAGUGGAUCUGGAUUAGAGUGAAGUGGUCCCAAGAGGCUGAGGCUGUGGCUGUGGAGUUCUAAAAGUCAAAAGCUCCACGCACUUUGUUUCAGUACCAUACACACUGAAAAAAUUUGCAUUUGCAAUGACGAAAACUUUUCACGAAAUCAAAACACCUCUAAACUAUUUUGUUAUCGAUAUUUAAUGGAGGGGUUUCCUACCUUUUUAACACUCGAUUCACGCCUUGACGCAUCUCACAGAAAACCUCAUGAUCCCAUUAAUCUUGCGUAACAUAUCUCAAAGCCAAUGCAAGUGAUCUUGUUGCCUACUUCCCUUUGACGAUUCAAAAUUGUUGAAAAUAAUUCUUUUUUUUUUUAACCUCAAGGAAGUGACAAAAUAUAAAAGAAUAUUUUCUACACAUUAAACAUCUAGAUUUUUUUUUCUUUUCUUUUUAGAGUACUUGCACAAACCGUUUCCAAGAGAGACCUUUUUUUUUUUUUUUUUUUUCCGGGCUUGGUUACUAAUUUGGUGUGAAUACUCUAUGGUGAAAAAGGAAUCACAAAGCUGUAAUCAAUUUUUUUGCAUCAUUUAGUUGUAACUUGAACAUUGGGAGGUUUAUAAAGAAUUAAAUUAAUUAUAAUGCCUCUACUAGGAAAAGUUCAGAGUAGCCCUUCACAACUUUUUAAAGGCUUAAUAAUUUUCGCUUUCUUCCUCUCAUAACAUAACAAAAAAUUAAGAGCUUUACUCGUACACGUCCUAUGGCUAUAUAGUAUUGGGUUCUCUACUUCAAUCGGCUAUCUCAAACCGAAGGUUAUUUGGACACACCAGCAGUCACGUUUGGAAACUCUCAAAUGCUUGGAUUGUAAUUCUUGUGGAUGAGAUCAUCUAAAUCUUGGGCCCAAGCCGGACAAUGGGUGGACAAAGAACCCUAAAAUACAGUAAAGCUUCUAACACCCCACUAAAACUCUUAAGAAAUCCUACCUUUUAUUUUUAUAUCUCUUUCUUUUAGAAAUUAUAGAGAAGACAUAGCAUUUUAAUUAUUUUCCCUGCCAUUGAAAAUAAAUUCUGUAAACAUAUUUUUUCAUAAUAAAAUUAUUGUUAUUAGAUAAUUUAUUUCUUCAUUGUUUCAAAAUUAUUAUAAUUUUAUCAACAAAAUUAGUUAUGUCAUAUAUUAGGAUUAAAAUUAAUUAGGAUCCAUAACUUGUAAAGACAUUUUAGUUUAAUUGAAUUCAUAUUUGUCAUUUUAUGUAAUUUUCAAUAAAAAUACGACUAUGAGUGCAAAAGUGGGAUGACAUAAUAUUAAAAGAGUGUGAAAUAAUCGGUAAUUGAAAUGGAUUGAAAUCAUAAUAGAGUAUGAAAAUCAGAAUAAAUUGUUUACUUUAGUUGUAGAAAUCAAAAUUAAAAUAAACCAUAUUAUCAUUGAUGUAUAUAUGUUUUCUUGUAAUCGAAAUGAAUUCUUAUAAGUUACUAUAAGACCCUUAUGGUGUGUUUACUAAUCAGAAAUCAGAAUGGAGUGGAAUUUGAAUAUAGAAUGGUAGGGGUAUUCGCGGAUCGGAUUUUACGGAUUGGACAUUAAUUCAUAUCCGAUCCAUAAUUUUACGGAUUAUAAAUUCUCAACACAAUCCAAAUCCAAUCUAUAUGUUUGCAGAUCGGAUGCGGAUUUGACUCAAUUCAUAUCCAAUCCACUAUUUGACGGAUUGAUUUUGGAAUUAAAAAUUUUUAAUUUUGUCCAAUCUAUGAGGUAAUUAAAUUUAAAAAUCUAAUAUAAAAAUAAUUUAUUAAAUAAAAAAUUAACGUAAAAAUAAUUUUACUACCAAUUAAAUUCAAAAUUGAACAAGAUUUAAAUAAAUUAAUUAUUUAAAUAAAACUAGAAUAAUUUAUUUAAAAUUUUUAAAUAUAACAUAUCGAAAAAAAAUUCAUUUGUUUAGAUUAAUAUAUGAAAAUUAACUAAAAUUAUGAAUUUAAAUGUUGAAAUUUGAGAGCUUGGAUGUAACAGGAAGAAAUUAAGAAACUUGAAGAACUUGAAAAGAAAGUAACAAAUUAAGCUUAACUACCUCUAAUGGUGAAGUGAAACAGUGAUGGUUUGUGCGUGCAAUGGGGUACAAAUUUGGCAUUAUAUGCCAAAAUAUUUUGUUUGGCUUUAGAAUUUUUAAUGUUUAGGAAGCUAUAUUUGUUUAUUUAAUUACUCAAAUAUUUAAUUAUUUUUUAUUUUAUGUUAUUAUUGAAUAAGAUAUAAUAUUGUGUUAAUUUAGCUAUACUUUAAUUAAUUAAUUAAUUUAUUAGUAAGUAGCAUUGCUACAUUUAUAAGUUUUAUUUUUUAUUAAAUAAAUACUUUUUUUUUUCAGAUUCACGAAUUUUUACGGAUUUACAGAAAUAAAUCCAUAUCUAAUCCAUCGACUGUGGUUUUUUAAAUUUUCAUUCCAAUCCGAUCUACCAAUCCACAAAUUAUAUUUUUACGGAUCGGACGAAUUGAGCGGAUCAAAUUGGGUUCUGAACACCCCUAGAGAAUGAGAAUCAAAAUAAAUUAUUUACUUUAGUUGUGUGAAUCGGAAUUGGAAUAAAUUGUACUGUCAUUGAUGUGUUUACUUUAUCUUGGAAUCAGAAUGAAUAAUUUCAAAUUACUAAACUGACCUUAAUUUUUUAUUGUAAUAAUAAUAGUAGUAGUAGUAGUAAUAGUAGUAAUUUUCUAUUAUUAUUAUUAUUUUCUCUCUCUUUUGUUUUUAUUUUUUUAUUUUUCUCUUCUUCUUCUCUUCCUCUUUUUUUAUUUUUCUCUAAUUCAUCGAUACUUCUUCUUCUUCUUUUUUCUUUCGUUUUUAUUUUUAAUUUUUCCCUUCUUUAUCGUUCCUUCUUCUCCGUCCAUUCUCUAUCUUCAAACUCUUUUUACUUUUUCUCUUAUUCUUCAUUACUUCUUCUCCCUUUUUUUUUUUUUUCUCUUCUUUAUUAAUUCUUCUUCUUCUGCGUCUAUUCUUCAUCUUCAAAUUAUCAAGUGAAAAAUACCCACGGUGCCUUACAAGAAGAAUUGGUUUUGUUUGCUUCAAUUAUUUUUUGUAUUUUGUACUUUUGAUUGUUUCAAAAGAGGAUAAACUUGUAAUAAUGCAAUUUAAGUAGGGAUGUUUUAGACAAUUUUGGGUAUGAGAGUCUAAUUCCCAACCCCCCACUCCCUCGUAGCAGACUCCCAUUCUUCAUUCCUAACUUGGUGUUGGACCUACUAAAAUAAAUCCCAUUCCCCUUCUUAUUUCAAGAAGCAAACACGAUUUUGAUUUCAAUUCCCCAAUCCGAAAGUAAACGCACAAAAAUUGUACCCAUAUGAGAUUGCUUAUCCUCGAGUUUUUAGAUUGAAAAAAAAAAAGGAAAAAAGAAUGGCCCCAUUAGGAAGGGAUUUUAAGUGUUAGAUAAAGCCGGUGUUAACCAUUAGAAGGUCUCCGACCUUCAACUGUAAUAUAUUAAACCCAGAUAAAUUUACAUAUAAAUCACACAAACCAACAUGCCAAUCAAAUAAAUUACAUCAACUAACAACAAUUGACACAUUAAUUUUCAUAAUACAGAGGAUGCAGAAAAUUAAAAUGUUUUAUCUUUUCUCCUUAUUUGUGAAUUGGAAAAUGAAAAUGUUAAACAUACAGAAGAGUGAAACAGGAUGGAUAUAUAUACACACACACACACACACAGCUUUGGAGUUCAAUGUCAUCGUAUUGCUCCAAGAAGAUUGGCGCCAUCAAGCUUUGCACCUUCCAGAUGCUGUUUAAUCAUCACCAUAACACCUUCAGUAGACAUUAAUACAUAAUAGAAACACAAAAUUCACAUGAUCUGAAUGUCUGGUCUAUUUUACUUACCGUAUCUCGAAGAUUUACGUGCCGUAAAUAAGCUCUUUGAAGGUUGGCACCCUUUAAAUUGGCAUUACGUAGCUUUGCACCCUGCCGCAUAAAUGUUCGAAGUUUCAACAAAUUAAAGUCUCCUGAGAAAUACAUGUCACGAAAAAGUAGGGCUGAAACUUGCAUCUAAUGUACAAGAUUCAAUCAGGGGUGCUUGUCCCACAGUGAAAGUGUAUGGGGGAAAGUGCACUUUCACAAACCAAAGGGGCAAGAUGUGAUUAUCACACGAUUACAAAAGGACUGUAGUCAAGAGAGAGAACUGAACAUGCAGCUUGUAUUGAGGCCAUGAAAAUUGAUGAAAAGCAGUAACAAGCAACCAUUUUGAAAACACUUCAUAUGGUCGAAUCAAUAAAUCAAAGCUAAAAUGAUGUUGACGAUCGAUAGCUUUUAGGUGAUAAGAGUCUUGGCACUACAGUUAAAAUUAUUAUCUAGGAGUGCACACAUUAAUAAAAAAAAACACAACCAAUAAGCAUGCACUCUUAAUCAGCAUAUAAAUUAACAAGUUAGUUGCACCUUAUGUUGUUCCACAAACAGAUUGCUCGAACAAUUCACAAUCUUACCUUCAAAUUAGCUCCUUCCAAAUUAGCUCCCUCUAGGUUGGCAUUAGUAAGAUCAGCAGUCUGAAAAGUCAAGAGGACAAACAGAUUGCAAUUUGAUUAAAAUCUCAAAGUAGCAACAUUCUGCAUGAAAGAAGAGCAGCACAAUUGGCAACAUACAUUUUAGAUUAAGAGGAUGGGAUAAAAGCAAAAUUACAAGGACAUGAAGCAAAUGAGCCAUGUUUAGUAUGGCAAUUUUGACCCAAUAAUUGUGGCAGGUCUUGGAGAUAACAUAGGCAUACACAUAAGGCAGAAGCAAAUACUGUCGCAAACUCCUAGCUAACUACAAAUGUUCCAUAUAGAAAAAAACACCUGCAAAAGUAAGGGAAAAAGCAACAGAUAAAGAACUCAAGAUGCUAGACCUGUAAGUGUGCAGAUCGCAGGUCUGCUCCACAGAAGCUGCAGUCUAUCAAGCAAGCAUCUGCAAUGAUUUAAGAUAAAUUUGAAUCCAAAUGACAUUUUACCGCAAGUAGUUCCAGCCAUUUUGGGAACAAACAAGAAAUGCUAUUUUGUAUUCAUUGUAAUUCCUUAAGCUAAAUAACAAUCAUGUGCUAUCUUAACCAAGGUACAGUUGCAAAUUCUGAAAUUGUGAUGCCAUAGGUUGUUCUUAAUCUUUUUGAACUGAAUAUUGAAAAAAUAUUCCUUCAAUCAUAAAUGUUAAAUAAUUAAAAGAACUGUGAGGGGGGNNNNNNNNNNNNNNNNNNNNNNNNNNNNNNNNNNNNNNNNNNNNNNNNNNNNNNNNNNNNNNNNNNNNNNNNNNNNNNNNNNNNNNNNNNNNNNNNNNNNNNNNNNNNNNNNNNGGGGGGGGGGGGGGGGGAAUGAAUAAGCGGAUGCAUACAGAAAAUUAUGGAAAAUCUGUUAUGGAAAUAAUAUGAAAAUGGGUAUGCAUAACUACAUACUGAAUCUUGACUAAUUUCAAUUUAAUUCAGAUAAGAAAUUCCAGUAUGGGAAUUGCCUUGUAAAUUUGCACUCUGAAGAUUUGCACCAGCUAGUAAAGCUCCACGAAGGUUUGCCCCAGCAAAUUCACAUCUUCCCUAGGCAAGAUAAAACCCUUAAAAGGCAAUUUUGAAAAAUACAUAUAAUUGGGAGAAUAUCCAGUAUUGCUUUGACUCUCUUACUCACGCAAAGUUGCAUUGUGAAAAAUGGAACCCUCAGCAUCCACAUCCUGUAUCAAGAACAGACAGAUUCAGUAUGAUUAAUAUAACUGGUUGCUGGAAGACAGGACAAAAUCGCAUCUUGUCACUGUCAACUUGCAUGUUAAGAAUUAAACACGAAAACUGCAUGCUGUCCAAUUAUAAGAAACCUAUAAAAUUCAAAUCAACAUCAAUACUGGCUUAAGGAAGAUAUAAAAAUAAAAAUUAUACCAACCCGAAAUUUCGCAGAUUGAAGAUUUGCACGUGAGAAGAAAACAUUUCUAAGACACGCAUAGCUGAAGUCCACAAGUGAAAGAUCCUGGCCAUUUUAAUAAGAUAGCAUCAGAGGAAACAAUAUCUAAUGAAUAUAUAAUGUUCUUUCUUGCUUAUCUGAGAAUACUAAUGAGAUUAUCAAAAAAACUCUAAGCUACUGCUAAGAAGUCUUGUGUUACAUGAGUAUGAAUUGAGGAGGUAAAGAAGACCCUUCUCCAAUAAGUUACCAUAGAAGCCACAUAAAACCCUAAAGCAGUUACAAACUUACAAUGACCAGAAUAAACCACCCCAACUAUCUAUUGGCAAGUAAAAUCACUUCUCUGGAUUUCUGAAAACUAGCAAAACAAAUGCAUAAAUUGGCAAAUUCGAUGAUUUCCUCUGAAAACCAAAUUAUAGCAGACAUAAAACUUGGAAGUAUUCAUAGAAUAAAAAUCUUUCAAGCACCUCAAUUCAGUAAUUAUUACCAGCUUAGAAAGAUCAAGGCCAGAAAGAUUAAGUCCUCGAAAUCUGACUUUUUCAGACUGUAUACACUUGAUGAUAUCAAUGCGUGUUAGCUCAGUAUCUAACUCAUUAUCUUCCUUUCUCUUAUUUAUGACAGCAUGGAUUCUCUCAAUUAGUCCCUGAAAUGAAACACAUUAGAUGCAAACUAUUAUUUGAAAAAAGAAAUACAUUUUAUCCACUAACACACAUGGAUUUCAACAGCAAUCAUACAAUAAUUGAGGAAGGACGGUCAUAUCAGACUCAUCUGCCAAGAUUCAAUAAGCACAUCAAACUUGUUUACAUGUAAUUUCCACAUUCCACGUGAAUUUAUAAGGUCUGCCUAAGCAAACCAAAGAAGGCUACACUCAGUACUGUGUGUAUACUGCCUUACCUUUGCUGUUCCCCAGAUACCGUCCUGCAAUCCAGAUACUUAGCUGUGAAGUUUCAAGCCAGCGAAACCAUUUUAAAAGUACACAUGGACACAGAUACCAUUAUCUGAAUCAUCUUCGAUAACAAAUUAAAAUGCCCUAGCGUUCAAAAAACUUAGGAUCUCUUUAAGUGAAGUUCCUUUAAAAAAGUAGAAAAAAACUGAACAACAAUGUCAUGCUAAUAAAAGGUAAAAAAAAUAAAAUAAAAUAAAGCAUAAGGACAGAAGUUCACCAGGAGCAUGCCAGUAUAAACCAAAACGACCACAAAUCUCAACCAUAAAAUUUAAAGUAGUAAAGUAAAUAAUCAAGGGCAUGCAGUUGGCACAGGUGCUUCCAAAUAAAAUGAUGAUUCUUUUCAAACAGAAAAAAGAAAUGGAUGUUAAUAAACUAGAAGAAACCAUGUCUUACAAGUAAUUGAUAAUAUUCUGCUUCCCGUAGAAGCUCUAAAAACUCUGACUCUGUUAAUGUGGGGACAGCCCCAUCCCUUAACCAAUUCAGAAUAUGCCGAAAAUGUUUUCCGUCCCUAUCAACAAAGAUAUAGCCCUGCAAUAAUUCAAUAUGCUCAAAGAUAAGAAUCUGAAUAAUAUACCCAAGAGAAGUGCUUUUCCCUGGAAUAAUAAAAAGAAAAUAAGUCAAAACGUUUUUCUUAAUGGAAGAACACAAAGGAACAGCUCUAUGACUAACAUGAAAACCAUAAAUCAGAAUAAGAACCCAAAACUGGUCAUUUGGAGUUUCACCAGAUCAAAAAGAUCACAUGGAAAUAAAAUUGUGAAAAUGGGAUUAUUUAUGCCGAGGUCAUGGCUAAACUGCAAUCAUUACUCCAUUUUUGGUAGAAGGAGAAGAAGAAAGAAGAGUAGGUGAGUCAUCAUUCUUUCAGGUGAGUCAUCAUUCUUUCUCUGUGAUUAAUUGAUAUGAUGGAAGUGUUGUAGAUAUUAAUUUGAUAGUGAUUCCUCCCUUCAAAAGAAUUCAUUCCUUUUUUUAUUAUUUCACAAAGUUUAACUAAGACUGAGUUUUCUCAAUUUGAAGGCAUCGUGCACUCUACCCCUUUCUUUUCCUCACAUUGCUUCUUCCCAAUCCCAAAGGGAAGAAAUCAAGAAACAAUUACAAUUUUUAACUAUUCACCAGCAAAAACAAGGCAAAGAAAGAUGCUGAGUGUAAGCAAAAAUAAGAGAGUUAUACACCUCAGAGUCUUGGCACACAGUAUGGCGACCGCUGAACAUAGCUGCAAGCAUAGAUUCAGGCUCACGACGAGUCAGAGUAUCAAUUGUUGUAUAAAAUUUCUUUCCCCCUGGAUAUUAAUACAUAAAAUAUAAAUUUGUUCACUUAAAAGCAUGAAUUGUGCAAAUUUGUCAAUAAUGUCAUUCUUUCACAAACGUUCACCGAAAUGUAUAACAAUAAGUGCAUCAUAACAUAACUAAACGGCUUAAGAACUGCGCAGAUAUUACAUACAGUAGAGAAACAAGAAAUAGAAAAUGAGAUUUGCCCUUUUUAAACAGAAAGCAAUCAAAGAGUAAACUAAAGAGCUAAUAAUUCACAAAAUUCAGUUGAUUAAACUCAUUUACAAGUAAUUAGCAACAAAAUCCAAGCUAAAUAAAAAUAAUGAAAAUUAGGUUCUUAUAACAUCCGUCAAUUCUAUGAAAGUUUACCACGAUCAGCAACAAAUAGAUAAAUCGCAAUAAAGAAAAACCGACGACAUGUCGGUUGUGUAGUGCAUAAGUAAAGGAAUUUGCAGAUGAUGUAAAGAGAAUGAGGGAUAGUAACUGACCGAUGUUGAGACGAACCAUUGAAGACGAAUCGGAGUCCUUCGCCAUUGUCGAGUGUAAUGACUUGUCGUCUUACUUGCGCUCAUAGGUAUUUAUAUCAUAGCUGACACUGUUCGAAGGACAGCAAGGAUUUGGUGGGCACAAAUGCAUUUUGGAAAUUGGGCUUCGGCCCAAGAAAUCGAAAAUCAGAGGCUUUUUUUUAAAAAAAAUUUAAAAGGAUUAGAAUGUCUAUAAAUUAAUAGGGCUGAGACCAUCUUAAAUCUAUUAAGUAAAAGAGAUAUUAAAUAUUUUAUUAAUUAAUAAUUUAUUAAUUUACAGAAUUAUUUAUAAUUCAAUUAACAUACAUUUAAUAACUAAACAUUCAAUGUACAUAAUUUCUGAUUACAAUUCAAAGCACUAACAAUACUUCAUAAUUUCUUAUUACAAUUCAAGAAUUCAACCUCAUAGCUUUUAGAUGCAAUAAGAAAAAUAAGAAAUAAGAUUCAGUUAUAUUUAAAUUUUAAGAAAAAAACAAUAAAAUCAUAUUUUAUGUAAUUAAAAUAUCAUAGUCAACUACAUUUGUAAUUUCAACAAAUUAUUACUCUAUGAUUUAAAUGAGACCACAAAGUUAUAUAAGAUUUUAUCGAAAUUAUUAAUUUAAUCCAUUAGUCCAUGUCAAGACCUUGAAAAUUUAAUAAUUAUAUAAUAGAGAUUAUUAAUUUAUCGAGUAUUAAUUUAUAGAAGUUCUGAUUGUAUAUUAUUUUAUAUUAAUAAAGAAUAAAGUAGCAUUCUUUUUUAAUUCCGAAGUAAUAAAAUUAUGGCUAAAUUAAGAGAGUAGAUAUAUUUUAUAACUUGGUUUAAUAACAUCACGCGCCUCCCUUGUAGUUUUGCAGCUUUGAAGCUUUAUAAUGAAUCCUAUUAGCUUUGGCUGGAAAGUUAUAUUGUUAAAGAGAGUUUAUAUAUUAAACAAGGUGAUCUAAUAUUUCCAAAACUAAAUUUGGGAUCAAAAAUAGAAAACAUUUGCAUGUUUUUACCUUUUGGAAGAAUUACUUGAUAAGUGCUUCACAGAAAAAUGCUUGCUAUUAUAGAGCACCCUAAAAAAAAUCCUUAAUAAUUGAGGGAUCAUAAUAAAGUUCAAUUCUAAAUCUGUCAGAUAGAUCGAAAGUAACAAACCAUAUAUAUUUAAAUCUAUUUAGUAAUCCAGGGUUACAAGCCAAGCGUGCAAUAGCCAAUUCUGAAAAUCAAAGCUCAGCCUAUGCUCUCUGAGCACAAAUAAGAUCUGAUAUAUACAUAUCGAAUCCUCCAUUAUGUGGAGUGAAAUUUCCAUCGUGUACGGUGUACCUAACAAUGAGAAAGCAUGGCAGCAUAAAUUCAUCUUCCAUGUUAUUCUACUUAUUAGUACUGGUUCCCUCAUAACUUCUCCAAAUCGGGGAGGUCUGCAAUGUGUAAAGCACGUAAUCAGAUAAAAGAAAGAGAGCCAAAAAAAAAAAAAAAGGUAACAGCCAAAAGAUUAAAUUUCUUUGAGAAAUAGAAAAUGGGAGCUUUUGGCAUAGGCACAGAAUAGAAAGUAACAGAGUCAUUUACAGUUGUUCAGAAUAUGCAAGCUGAAAACAACUUUGAAUGCAAUGGACAAUUCCUCCAACAAACAAUCGAAUUGGAUUGUGGAAGAGACAAAAGCUUAAUGAGGUUAUGGUUUUGGCUAGGUGAACUCAAAAUUCUUUUAUAGACCAAGUAGGUAAAAACAAAUCCCAUAUAGAUGGAUGAACCUCAUACCAUGAACAGUUAAUCGCGAACACUUGCAGGCUUAUGCACACGACUAUGAAGAUACUAAGGGUUUCACCGAUGGUAAGUGAAAAAUAUAUGAUGUAUAAUUUAAAUGGAAGCACAUAGUUUCGGAUUGAAUUCAAGGUUAAAGUUCCACAGACAGACAGAAGAGAUGAAGCUUAAAAACUUACAGAGCAUUCCUUCAUCAUCACUGCUUUCAUCAUUUUGGCCAACAUGCUGAAAAAAGAAUAUGAUUCAAGUUAAAUGAUUGAGCAACAAUAAAAAACGUGCAAAAUUAAUGCUCUCUCCACAAAAAUUUCAGUCUAUAUUGGUAAGAAGAAACAGGAAGAAAAAAUUACCUCAGCAUCAUCGUCAUUGGAAGCCAAAUCAGCUGUAAAGACCACAAAAUGUUUGGUUAGAACCAGUGGAAGUCUUACUCUAAAAUUUUUAAUUUUUGAAUUUCGAAAGAUCUCGUAAUGACAAAGAUUUUCAUAUCCAGUGACCAAGUUUUGAAAAUUAGAAUACGGAAUGACAUCAACUAAAUUCACUAAUAUAAGCUAGAGGAAUCCCUAGUAGAUAUAGCGCACAUGCACACAUGAUAUGCAUCCGAAUACACAAUAAUAAAUUAUCUCAAAGUCAAUAAGAAGCCAAAAUUAGAGAUAAACUUUUAGCCACUAUAAGGAAGACUGAUAUUUGCAGUGUGAUUACAAUAAACAAACAGAAACUUCACUACCCAUAAGUAAAACAAAAUAAAUAAAGGAUAAUAACUAACCAAGAAAUGGAAAAGCUCACAUUCUCUGAACACGCACCCCAAAAAGAAAGAAAGAAAUAAAUGUUCUCAUUGGAUCUGAAGCACAAGCAAUCCACUGACAUCCUUCUAUAAUUAGGUAAUUUAAAGGGGUUAAGCUCACAUCUUUUACGGAAGUAAGAAGAGAAUUAACAACCUUCCAGAGGAUUUAGGGAAAUACCACGAGGCAAGAAAAAAGAAAUAUCCUUCUUCAAUCUAGAUAUCCUGAUACUGCUCACCAUCUACAACAGUCUGUGGCUUAAAAAGCAGGUCACUGAUCUCUCCCUCCCUCUGGCACCAUUUUCUCUCAUGUCUCAUUUUUCCCUUCCUGCCAACUCCCACUACAGUAUUGAAACCUAUUCUAUCAACUCUUCCCCCUCCAAUAACAAGACCAAAACCAAUUUUACUCGCCGGUUAGCUAGGUAGUAAAUGGAAAUUUGUGAAUCUGUCAUUCAUCCGUAGAAACAAACCAGAACUGCAUAAAUUCUCUUCUCUCCCAACAGCUUCUUUUCUCCAGAAAUAGGCACAAGUAUUUGACAUGGAAACAGUUUAUCUAACAUGGCCACCUUUAAAGACAAAGACAUACUAAGGACGUGGUUUUAGAUACGGAUACAAGAAACAAUCACAAAAUGUAAAAUCUAUACAUAUGAUAUUAAUUUCCAAUGGAUACAGCAAUUCAUUCUUUGACAUAACUUCAUCAGAUUACUAGGUUUGAUUAGGUUAUACACACAUUUAUUCAUUUAUUGAAUCUACAUGCACUUAGAAUGAGAGGUACCUAUAAAAACAAGUUACCAGAAAACAAUACAGCUAGAAAACAUUAAUCUAAGUAGUUCUAUAGGUUUAACUAACUGCAGGAAAAAACCAUUGAUUUUGUCCGCCAGAUUAUCGAGAUCCUAAUUCUGGUAAAAAGAAAAUGAGAUAAUAGAAAAUCAAAAAUUAAAUAGACACAAAAUGAGAAAUCAAGAUCAUAUGGCAACUAAUAUAUAGCAUGGGCUGCAGCUAACAAGCAAUAUAAGCCAUGAUAUUAUGCCAGAUACAAAUUUUGAGAUCCAAGAGAGAUCAAGAAGCAUGAAUACCACUAAAAUAUCGAAAGAAGUGAGUGCAGAAGGAUAAGAAAUCAGGUUGAUAUUCUUCAUACUUUGGAUCAACACGUAGUGAUGCAAUAAACUUGUAAUUAGCUUCAAAUGUAUAGGCUACCAUGUCAACAUUUCCGAAAACACACAAGAUUGUGCUGGAUUCAUACAUAGUACAUAUAUAAAAAAACAAUCUGCUUCUAAACUUCAUGAGAACAUCGAAUAAUGAACUUACAAUUUGAUCCCUCAUCAUCUUCAUCGCACCAUUUGUUCCAAUCAACCUUAAUGUAAGGUGCUGGUUUCUCUUCUGACUUGAGUAGCCUUUUCCACCAACCUUUCUCUUCUUUUUGGACCGAGCAUAUUAUGUUCCUUAAGCCAACUUUAGUCUUACAUUUCUGCACCACCAGCAACAAAACUCAAAGCAUUACAAAAGAGGUAUAUUUAGCCGCUCUUGACUCGAGUGAGAGAACAGGAUAAAUAGCCUAGGUAUAUCCACAUCCAUGUUAUGAGAUUGAUUAUGCAACAGCUAACUUUAAUAUAAAGCUUUUGCUUCAACAAAGACUAAAAUGUUUGUAAUUGUUAUGCUUUUGGAGCUAAAAUGUUUGGCAAACACCCACUUUUACUCUGCACCUAAUAUCUACCACCCACCCACACACUAAGUCUCUCGUUUGGUACAGCUAUUUAUCAGUAGUGGCUUUAAGCCACAACAUUUAAAGCGAAUUUACCCUAAAAUUUUACAAUGAAAAACCUAUACUACCUUUAACAUUGUUGUCAAAAUUAUUAUUAUAAGUAAUAUUUACCAAACACUAUCAACUUCCAAUUCAUAUCAAAGAGCUUUCACUCCACAAUAGCCGUGUCUUCUUAAGCCAGAACAACACAAUACCAAAGGCCUUAAGCUAGUGAUUUGAUUUCACAACAACUGCAGAUCAAGCCUCAAUCCCAAACAUACAUAAAUCAAAUGCAGAAAGCAAAAAUUUAACAAUAUGUUUGGUAUACUAAAUGUCUUUCAUAGUUUCAUUUCACAGGGUAUUUAGACAUGCAAUGAUAAAUUGGAGCAAUUUCAAGAACCGAAUUGACCUCAGGUAAAAUUUUGCCAAAAAGUUCCAAGCUGAAGUCGUAAAGCUCGCCUUGGACUCCGACGGCCGAGAAGCCAAAAAUCCCCUGAGGCUCGCAUUUCACAGAAAUGUCUUUCGCAUCGGGUAAUGAAAUGGUAAGGUAUACUUUAUCGGAGCGCUGAGCCCAAAGAACCUCCGGAUGGCGACUGAACAUAAAAGAAAUAAUAAUAAUAAUAAUAUUAUUAUUUUUUAUUGUGACAAUUUUGAACUAAUAAUUAGAGACAUUUAACAACAAUAUUGAUUAAUAUUGGAGAAGAAAAAUAAGGUUACAAGAGAGAAUCAGAAAGAUUACCUCAUUCUGGUGGAUGAUUGAAAACGGUGGGUCGAUUGAUGAACAGAAGUGUAACUGUCUGGGAGUGAGAGUGACUCUGCUGUUUACUGGGUAGAGUGUGCUUACUCGAAGAAAUUGAAAGUGAUAAUCUCGGGCAAGCCAACACGUCGAUUUGGUCAACAGUGGUCCAACAAACCAGGAACUAGGUUUUUUUUUUUAAAUGAUUUUUUUUUUCAGUAUUAUAUUGCCCCGCCCGUGGGCUAUUACAUUUUGGCCCUUUUGGGGACCCCUCGUUCUCUUACAAGAAGGGAAUAUUCUUUUCCAUCCACCGGUUUGUAGGCAGAGUACAUAUACUCUUCGAAAUUAAGGACAAAUUUCUGAAUCGUGCCGCAUUAGAAUUAAAUUGAGUCUCAAAAGAAUUUUGGUUAUAAGUAUAUCGUUCAAACGGUAAUAUAUUAAAAAAAAUAAUAUUUACUACAAUGUAGACCUAUCGGGACUUUGAAGCCCAGACCAAUUCUUGAGUCUAGCCUAAUAACACCUCAACAGAUCAAAAUUGAAAUCCAACUUAAAUUUCAAUAUUGUGUAGGGAUCUGCCUUAAUUUAGAUAUGUCAAGACCUGCCUUAGGCAUCAAAGUGAUCUAUCUUAACAUAACUAAGACUUUCUUUAAACAUCACAAUGAUUUAUCUUAACGUAGUCAAAUCUAGCCUAAAAAAAUCUAAAGAAGGAAAAAAGAAAUUAUUUUCACGUAUUGAGAGACUUAAAUUCUUAACCUUAUUCAUAAGAAAAAAAAGUGUAUUACUUAACUAAAUCGUGACUAAAAAUUAUAAUUAUUAUUUUUUGUACAUUUAGCUUUAAAAAAUCAUUAUAUAUAUAUAUUCAUAUAAGUUUUGACAUAAUAUACAUACCACUUAUUUGUUUUUUAAAUUAUACGAGAAUGAAAAAACUCAAGCAUUAAACACCAACUUUUGUUUCAUGCUAUCAAUCAACUUGAGAAAUUUUAUAAUAUAUCGGAAGUUCUACGUCACAAUUUAAUACGAAGCCUUCGAUUAAUAAUAAUUAGACACAUGACAAUAGAUGCUAGAGAAAUUUUAAAUUCCCUCUUUUCAUUAUCCCUCCAAAUUUAGAAUUUCAAAAAAUUAGAGAAUAAAUGUUGCUUGCUCUCUUUGUUAUCUAAUUCUAAUUAUUAUUUUUUUCUCUCUCUCUCCAAUCAAGUUGCUAGCAUUUUUUAAAUCUAUUGAAGAAUAAGAAGAAGGUUUUUGUCGAUGAAAUGAUUUUGGCAGCCUUUUUUACCCAAAGCUAACAUGAUUGCUGCGACUACCAAUGAAGAAAAAGAUGUGUUUUGCUGGCGAAGAAGAUGAUUUUUGAAGCAUGAGUGGCUGCCGUUUAUUUUUUUCCUUCAUAUUUUUCGAUGUAGUGGCUGUCCUCAAGUUUUAUUCAUUUACUUUUCAGUUGGCCUACUAUUUAUUGGCAUAAUGAAAAAUUUUAUUUUAAUAAGCAUUUAUAGAUUAAUUUGAGGAGGUUUCUUUUGCAAUAUUAGUGUGGUUUCUGCAUUGGUAUGAUUUAAAUUACGAACUUGCUACAAUCUUUAAUUAAACUGUCAAAAGUAAUUUAAAAAAUCUUUAAUUAAACCGUCAAAAGUAAUUUAAAAACUGACAGUAGAUAGAUUAGAGAUAGGCUUGACAAUUUAGCCCGACUCUAUUUUUAGUCUGAUUGAUCCGAUCCUAAUUUUUAAGACUUUGGCCUGAAUUUUUUGAUUUCGGGUCGGGUUCGGGUCAAAAUUUUAAGGCCCGAACAAAUUUAGGGUCAGGGUCGGACUUAAAACCAACCCGACCCGACCCUAUUUAAAAAAAAAAAAACUAACACACGCACACAACACAUGACAGUUCACUCUCUCUAAAUCGUAAAUCACACACACAAAAUACACUUACACAAAUUCACAAAAACCCUAAGCCAGCCACCCAGCCUGCUGCCGUCCUAUCAGCCAACAUCGUGACCGUCCGCCGCACGCCAGCCAAUCAGCCGUCGUCUCGUCGUCGCAUGUCUCACCAAUCAGCCAUCGUGACCGUCUGCGACGCUGCGACAUGAACUUGAACCAGCCGCCCUUUGUCGCCGUCCUGCCGCAUCCGCCUGCCAGCCAACGAUCAAUGCACACAGUUGAAUUGUGGGGUGGGAAAUGGUUUCGAUAGGGUCGGGCUCGACCCGACCCUAACUAUAAAGAGGUAGGGCUUUUUUAGGGUCGGGUUUUAAUUUUUUGUUGAUCGGGUCGGGUCGGGUUUGGCCAAACCCGAGCCCGACCCGACGUUUUGCCAUCCCUAAUUAGAGAUGAAGAUUGGAGAGAGAGAAAAAUAUAAUUUGAAUGAGAUAAUAAAGAGAGAAGAAAUUCUAUAAUACAUCAUAAGUAAUAUAACUCAUUGAUGUAUGCAUGAUAUAUGUAAUUAACCUUAAUAUAACUAACACUUGUAUGGUGAUAUUUCAAAAUAAAUAUACAUAUGUUAUAAAAUCAUUUACUUAUUGUAUGACUGACAUUUUAUUUUUGAUGUAUUGUACAAUUUCUCAGAAGAGAGUAGUAUUUAUUAUCUCUAAUUUUUUGAAAUUCUAAAUUUUGGAAGGAUAAUAGAAAGAGAAAUUUUAAAAAUUUUUCAACGUAUAAUGCCAUGUAUCUAAUUAUUAUUAGUCGGUGUUCCACGUUAAAACGUAAUAUAGAACCUCUGGACCUUACUGUAUAAUGUACUGUAGAAUUUCCUGAUCACACACUUUCUCAGUUGCAAAAGAGGUGGGCAUAUGAGUUCCUUACGGGGAUUUAGUGUGAAUCCACGCAAAGCCCAUAUAGAUUUUUCCGGUUAACCGCUAUGGCAUCCUAGUUUUAAACUCAGUACUAAAUUUACAGAUCCAUUUAAACCCCCCAAAUCAGUCUCUCACCGUCUCAAGUCUCAAACAAAAAACCUGACCGGAACCCAAACCGCCAAAUCCGAUUCGAUGGUGGACUGUGCUAAAACCCCUAAAAUUCCAAGACUGACAUGCGGUAAAGGAGAUGGUGAUAGACUUAGCAAUCUUCCGGAGCACAUCAUUUAUCACAUAUUCUCGUUCAUGGAAACAGUUGAUGUUGUUAGAGCAAGCACUGUUUCGCGAAGAUGGAGGUACUUGUGGCUUUCCGUUCCUUAUUUGAACUUCGACUAUCACACAAUUUGGUCAGACCCGGAAAGUAGAUGGUCUCGUAGGAAAAUCAAUGAUAAGUUCAAAGAUUUUGUCAACUGGGUAAUAUUUUCUCAAAAUGGGUCUGUUAAUAUUCAAAGAUUUCGUCUUUGCUGCUGGGAUUAUUUAGCAAGUUACGAUAACGAUAGAACGAUUUACAGAUGGGUUUCUGCUAUGGCACGUCGAAACGUGCAAGUGCUUGAUCUGGCUAUAGCUUCACUAUACCCAUUUGAGUUUGACUUGCCACAUAGUCUUGUAACUUGUGAUUCAUUGGUGGAACUGAAGUUGAGUUUGAGCUUUCAUGUUCACCGAUGUUUUUUAAAGCUGCCUACUGCUGCUGGUUUUAUUGGGCUCAAGUCUCUUGAUUUACAAAGUGUUGCGUUGGAUGAUAAUUUGUUUCCUGAAUUUAUUUCAAAUCUUCCCCUGCUUGAGAAUUUGUGUAUGUUGUCAUGUGUUUUUCCUGAAUUGAAGGUUCUUGACAUUUCUUCCACUAAUUUGAAGAAUUUGGCUCUGGAAUCCAUUGUUGGCAAUGAUAAUGCUGGCAAUGAUGAUGCUGGCAAUGAUGAUGCUGGCAACUACAAGCUUAAGAUUGCUUGUCCAAAUCUUGUGUCUUUUAAUUAUAUAGCUUUAGCUCCAUGGUUACCUCACUUUGCUUUUGAGAGCUUAAACUCCUUGCAAAAUGCAUUCAUUGACCUGGAUGAUUAUAACGAGGAUGACAUGGAGAACGAAAGAUGUCAUGUUUUAUCUACAAUCUUCAAUGACUUUCGUGAAGUUAAAGUUUUGAAAUUAUCAGAAGCCAUUCUUCUCGAGGUAUGAUUUCAAAUACAUUCAUUGCACCAAAUCAUGAUUCUGCCAGAACUUGUCUACACUUUUUUAUUUUGACAUUAGAAAUGAAGCUUAAGUAAACUGAAUCUACUUUCUUUGUUUGGUAAAAUAAGAAUUCUAUUGAUUAUGGAACCUUCCUAAAUGCUAAUUUGUUCUUUAGACUGUGUAUAAGUCAUUGUGACAUUGUAUGAAGUCUCAUUUAUCUGAGUAAUCAAUUGUUAUUGAUGUCAAAGACUAGAACUCAUUGGUGACUUGAGUUUAUGUAUAUUAUCGUUUGUUAGAUUUUUUGUGUGAUUAUUGCACUUAACUUGACUAAUGUAUUCUCUUUCUUUUUGCCAUUGUUCCUCCAGGUUCUUGAUCCUGAUCCUGCUCACGAAGAACCAGCAUUUUUUUCCACUUCAUUCAAUAAUUUGAAGUCCUUAAUACUUUCUGCAGGUCCGGGUGUAUGUCUCAUGCCAUCAAUGCUUAGGUUGCUCAACUGCUCUCCAAAUCUAGAAGCUCUUGCAAUAUAUUCUCCUAAGGUAAUCUUAACACCAAAAACUAUUCCAUUUGUUAGAUACCGUCGCUUCUAUCCAUUUUUUUUAAAAAUCAUAUCUCCCAUUUAUGUGCUAAAAUUUUAAUUUUGUUAAAGUGCAACUGGGCUUUGCUUAAAUUAUCGCAAUAGAGUUGAAACCUGAAAGUAUUUGUGAUAUAUUAUGUUUACCGCUUAGAGCUUAAAGUAAAUGUUAAUCUUGUGGCCUCUUGGUUGUUCCCAUGCUAUUGCUUGUUGAGCAGAUGGUUGAAUUUAGAGUCAAUCAAUCGGUUGUGUUCUUCUGAGGUUUGUGCAAGUUUUGUAAAAGAGCAAAGUUUAGUAUUUGUUUAGUUUGUGAAAAUGAUAUAGCUUUUUCUAAUUCAUCUUACUCUAUUCUUUGCUUAAAAAUGAAUUCUCCUUUUGAUUUGAUUCCUUGACUGCAUUUCGGUCUGUUUUCUCUUGGCAGCAUCGGCGUGGAUAUAAUGCUUAUAGGAAAACACCGAACAAGGCUGCUAUUUCAUGUUUGACAAAUCAUCUCAAGACAGUUGAAAUAAAACAUUUUAGCGGUGAUAUGAAUCAACUUGAAAUUGUGAGGUUUCUUCUAAGGAAUGGACAUGUAUUGCAGAGAAUGAGUAUUAGAUGGGUGGCAGAUGUUAAGAAUCAAGGGAAGAUUAUCUCAAGGAUAAUGAAGUUUCGGAGAUCAUCUUCAAGUGUUGUGCUGAAAUUCCUAGAUCCUAAGCCAGCUGAUGAUUUUUCAGAUUAUUUAUUUGAUGAUGAGCAAAAGAACUAAAAUUAUGUUUAAAUUAAAAAAAAAAAAAGUGGUUUAAGUGUAUGUUCGAAUUAAAUAGUCUUUUGGAUUUGUAGAAACUGAAAGGAGUACAGUGCCAGUCACUGUGGCAGCCUUAUGUUUUGUUUGAAAAAAUUCGGAAGCUUCUAAAUUGUUAUAUACCUCAAUUCUGAAGUCGUUAGUAUGUAUAUUAUAAGCAAUACAUAUGUUCCAUUUGUCAUAUUUUAUUUUGGCAUUACGAUUGUUUUGUCUUGAUUAAUAUUGAUUAUAAUUUGUUUAACAUUUAUCUGGCAUAUGUAGAAUUAUACUUUAUCUGAGUAGAUGACGCUGCUGCGUACAUCUUCAGGACUCGGUCAUAAACUGUUUAUCUCUGCGUCUGUCUAGCAUCCAUCCACGUAUGACCUGUCGGCUUUUUGCCCGCAAGCAUACAGUUAGGGGUGGUAAAAAUAUCUGUCCGGUCUGGAUUCGGUUCGCACCCGGAUGUUUUAUCCGGCCCGGUCUUGGGCAUCAUUUGAUAAAUUCGGAACCCGAGUUUUAUUAAGCGCCUUGGCCGUACAGCAGUAUAUUAUUUUAAAUAUUUAUAUUUAUUUGACUCAUUUAUUACAUAUAUAUAAAGUUUUAGACACUUAAAGUUUAUAUUUUCAUGUCAAAUUUCAUUAAAAUAAAUUUAAAACUUAUAAAAUUACCAAAAAAUAAAAAAUAUAUACAUAUAUAAUAUUAAAAAAUAUAAAAUCUGGGUACCCAAAUUAAAACCCGGCACAAUCCGACCCAGGCAUCUAUGCAUCCGGGUCGGGUCCGGUCAUUACGAUACCCCGACCCAGCCCAGGGUUUUGCCAUCCCUACAUGCAGUGUAUAUGAAUUGCAGUUCUUGUACGGACAACAUGUCAUCCAUAAAACUCGAGUUAUGUUCUUUUUAAUCUUUAGUUUAGAUUACAUUUUGCAAAACUAAUAAACGAUAGAGCUCCUAGCAAGGUCAAUAGUUAACUGCGAAUCCAGAAGAUCGGAAUGCUAUACCUUUCAAACAUGCAUUUCAAAGCCAUCUGCGGAAAUGGAAAACAAGCAUUUCAAACUCGUUGUUAAAACAAUGAUAAAAGUAAUUUUAAUCCUAAUUUUUAAUUCCAGGCAUGAAGCUAACUCAUAUACAAAGAGAUAUCAAGUAAGCAGAGGCGAAAGCUAAAAGCUUUGGUUACAGGGGUCGGUGUGAAUAAUGUAUAUAUCGUUUAGACAUAUUUUUGAAUAUCUAUUUUAAUUUAGGGGAUAUUAUAUAUAUUUAAAAAAAAUUAAAAUUUUUACGGGAGCCAUGGCUUACUAUAGUCUCCAUUAAGAUUCACCCUCCCUACUUUUCGUACUUCAUUAAAGUAUAGGAUAAAUAUUUACAAUAUUAUAAAUAGAUUUUAUAAAAGCAGUCCAUAUAUGAAAGUCCUUCUGCACUCUGAAUUAAAUAAAAAUAACGUGAGACUAACAAUUUAAGAGUCUUUUUUGCAACGUAUAUCGUGCAGUGAUGUACUCUAUCGACGGAGGACUCUCUUCAUAUGCUUUUUAUUUUUCCAUGCCUGAUUAUAAAUAGGAUCACUCUAUGUUACAUUAAACGUAACGUACACACACUCACAACAACAGUAACAAGUCCCAUCAUUAGAACUGUUGCUGUGAGUGCGUGUAUGUUACGUUUAACGUAACAUAUCACUAGCCUUAUAAAUAACAUCACUUUUAAGGAUUUUUACAAAUUUUUAUUACAACCGUAACUUUUGUCCUCAUACAAUAACGGUGUCCAUUGUCCACAUAUAAAAAGUUCAUCAAUAAACAUAUAACCUAAUUAAAAUUCGUGACAAAAUCCAAAGGAAAGAAAGCGUGGAGUAAUAUAUAUAACAAAGGCAUUGAGCAUACACCAGGUGUAAUUUGCAUUGCAUGGCCACCCUUACGUGGCAGUUCCGCCGAUUAACACAUCUUUAAAAGUUAAAGCCCCCCUCUCUCCUUGUUAAGGGCGUUUCAACACAACACUCAUCAAUGCAAGCAAAGAGACAGUGAAGGAAAAAUUAAGAAACCAAUAUUGUCACUUGGAAGAAAGAAACAAUCAUUACAUAUAUAAUACGAUGGAUACUAAGAACAACAGGAAGCAUUUGUCCUGCAUUGCCAACGACGUCGUUCACAGAUGUGCACUGUACGUAUCUCUCUCUCUCUCUCUCUCUCCUUUUCUUUUUCUCCCCGAUCACUUUGUUUUCUUUAUAUAUACGAAUGUAUGUAGAACGUAGUAGGUUUUGUAUAAAUAUCUGUUGCACACAUUAUUUGAUGUGCAUUUAAAUAUAAUUAAUGGUAAUUGAGAUGACACACAAAGACAAUGCAAAAAAAGAAAAAAAAAGAGAGAGUAAAUUAAUGAAUUUGCCUUGAUCCAGUUAAUUUGUGUGCAUUUAGCUGACUGUAAGGUGGUUUCGAGUGUGUUUUUGUUUGGCAACUUUUCACACAAAAGCACUUUUGGGAAGCACUUUAUGUAAUGUAAGUGCCUCUAAAAACUGUUUUAUGUAUUACUGCCAAAUGCAGUGCAGAGGUUACAAUGGGAGGGUCGGUUUUAUACCUGUUCUUCGAGACUUAAUUUCAAUAGGAGAUUGAAAUAUUUAUGAGAAUUAUGUUGUUAGCAGACUUAAUUCUUUUGGAGGAAUUCAUUCCAUCGUAGACCACUCAAUGAAUUUGGUCGAUUGAGAUUAUUUGAGUGCAUGCUUCAAAACUGGAGCAUUAAUUCUUUGACAUAAAUGGGCUUUAACAUAAGGCGCGUUCGCUUAUUCCAUUUAUUCAAGAAGUUGGCACUCAAUUUUUUAUUACUAGCCUUUAGAUGGCCAGCAGCCUUUUGUAGCCCUUUCUAGUUUCUACUAAAGUGGUUAUGUGCAAUAGUUCUAUUCUGGGUUGCAAAAUUAUUGUGUCAGUAGAAUCCACAUACAUUAUGUACUUUUCUGUAUUUAAUUUCAAGAGGCUUAGUUAUAUCAUAGUUUUAGGAUUAUAAUAAGUCUGUCCGUUACCAUGUUAUUGGAAUUUUUUUUUUUUUCUAAAUUAGUUGGACACAUUAUUGGAUUGGUCAAUAAAGGAAAGCAUUUGGCAAGUACUUGGUUUGAUAUUAACAUAUAGUUGCAGUAAAGCACAUUAACUUGUGCAUCCUGAAAUUCUUGCAGGCAAGUAAAGGCUUCUGAGGAUUCAUUGGUGGAGGGGUUUGAAGCUGAAUGGAAGCCUGAAAUCGGACAGUAUUCGAAGAAAUUUGUGGAAUAUUGCAGCAUAAAGGCUCUUACUAACAUGUGCCAGAGCAUAGAAGAAAAGAUUAGUGAUGGAUCAUUUAGUCGACUCACAUUUGAUAUGAUGCUUGCCUGGGAAAUGCCUAGUGCCGCCGAUGAGGAGUCUCAUACUGUAAGCAAUCAUCAUAAUACUCAUAUCCUAUAUUUAUUUCAUGGUCCACCAAAUCAUUAUGAUAUUAUCCCAAUUUUGGUGUGCCUAUCUUCUCUUCAAGUUGCUUCUUCUAUUUCUUUUUCAUUAUACAUUCUCUGGUUCUCAUCAGUUUUCGCUCCAAUUAAAAGAAGCAUGAAUUCUUUCACUUAUCUGCUGAAUCUGUUCUAAUGAUUGGGCAAUAGAUUUUUAUUCCUCUCUGUGGUUACUACUAUUUUGAUCUUGUGCAGGAGUGCAUGGGAAAGGAGAAUGAGGAUAGAAAGGCUGUAAAAGUCACUUCAGAUCAUGAUGAAAUUCCUCUCUUCUAUACAGACAUCAUGCCUCUUCUAGUAAGAGCGUCUCUUUCUGAUCAUUUGAGUGCUAAUGUACCGACCAAGCAUUAGCCUUCACUGAAACUCGUAUAUGAUUUCAUGAACAUUGAUUAAUUGUUAUUUUUGCUAACUACUCUAUGAGAUCUGAUCAAAUUAGAUAUAUAAAUGUUGCGAUUGAUCUUGGAUUUGCUUUAUAUUUGGCCAUCAAUUAUAUUUUACUCUUCAUUUUUAUAUUUGUUUGGUUUGAUAAUUUACCCUCUGGCCCAUAUAUAUGAUGGUAGGUUAAUAAUGAACCGAGUGUUGGAGAAGAUGCAUUUGUAUGGAUGGGAUCCUUAGUUCCUCUAGUUUCAGAUGUUAUUAAUGGGAGAUUUACAUAUGAAAUUCUGACAGCGCCAACAGGAAACCGGCUCCAUUCUCCAGCAUAUGAUAUAUUUCUAAAGGAGAUGGACAAGUAAUUCUUCCAAUUCUUCCAUGCAGCAAUUUUACCACUCAGAAACUUUAAGUGCCGUUUGGUUUUGUGACAUGCAAAUUAUCAUGGAACACUCAAAAUGAGUUGUUCUUAACAAUUUCUAGAAUUUGCAAACUCACUAACCAUAUCUGAAAAUGCAGAAGCAUUAUUACCACUUAUUGAUAACAAUAUCUCUGCUCGACUUGUUUGGGUGCUUUCAGCCGUUUUUCAUUUUCUUUUGGAAAUCUUGAUUUCAUAGAUGCAUAAAACAUUUGCAAAAACAAGCAACUCCAAAGGGUGUUGAGCUGGCUGACGAUGAAUUUAUACUGCAUGUGGAGGGAACUGCAAGCACACAGAGAGUAGUGCGCCAUAUUGGGAAAACAAGUUGGCCUGGUAUGUCUUUAGUUUGAUGUCUUACAUCUUUUUAACUGCUGUAGAAAUUGUUACUUGGAUUUUACUAAUCAUAAUUGUUGUCUCUAGGUAGGCUCACACUGACAAAUUAUGCGCUCUACUUCGAGGCUUCGGGAGUAAUAACAUAUGAAGAUGCUCUAAAGAUUGACCUCUCAAAAGAUGCUGAACUAUCUGUUAAACCAACUGCCACAGGUCCAUGGGGUGCUCCGCUUUUUGACAAGGCAAUUGUAGUCGAGUCCCCUGAACAGUAAGCAUAGUUGCACUUAUAUGAAAUUACUGGAGCUAUUAGCAUCGUUAUUCUUAUUUUAAAAAUUGUUAAAUGCUUGGUAGUUAUCCCAUAAGCUAGAUUUUAAAUGCAUAACAUACAAGGCAGACAUCAGAAAGCAUUCUGAUUCGUUUAUUAAAGUUUGUCUUUUAUUAAGCUAAAGAUAUUAAUGCUGCUAGAUUUUUCUAAUUUGGUUGUAGAUAUUGGUUAGUUACACUGUCAAAUGAGCAAAUCUCGUGGAUAUUUCAUAGUGUGGUUAUGCAAUUGUUUUUUGCCCUUCACUUUUCUAGAUCUGAGGGAAUUGUCCUGGAGUUUCCAGAGAUAACUAGCUCGACAAGGCGUGAUCAUUGGCUGGCCCUCACAAAGGAGAUAAUGUUAAUGCACAAAUUCCUGUCAAAAUUCAAGGUGGAAUGUCCAAUACAAGCAUGGGAGAUGAAUGCAAGGACAAUACUUUGCAUCAUAAGACUCCAUGCAGCAAGAGAAAUGCUGAGGAUAUUGCCUCCAGAUCCCACAAAAUUCUUGAUUUUUGCUUUGUAUGAUGAGUUGCCAAAGGGAGACUACGUGCUAGAAGAGCUUGCUGAGAGUCUGAAGAAAGUUAAUUGUGGACAUCCUUCCAGUGCUAGCUCAAUUCUGAGAUGUAUGAACCUGUCAAUUGCCGCAAGUGGAGAAGUAAAAGAAGGAAAAGAACUGGAGGAACAUAAACAUAUAAGUGAUGAAAGCUGUUCAUCACUGGAAACUGCCAUCAAUCAAUCUAAAGAGCAAGCAAAGGCAAUUGAAAUUGCUAAGUCUACCACUGAGGGCCUGAAAGAUGAAGGGAUCAGUGAUAGUAUCCUUGUUCUCUUGGUAUGUUUUUACUUCCAAAUUGUUGUUUAUGCUGCUGAUUUUAUAUUGACAGAAUAAGUAAUGACAUCUCAACAAAUCAUGGUAUUGAGAGCUUGUUUGACAUUUAUCAAACACAGCAAAGAAAUUGAAUUUUAUGAAAUUCCUAUAGCACCCUAUAAUUUGUACCAAAAAAUCUCUGCACCUUUGGCAUGCUGUAUGGUAUGGAAGUAUAGCUGUCUCAGAGAGGUUACUGUUAUUUACUUUAUUUGGUUUUGUAGUAUUGAUGUUAAGUUUGAUUUAAUAAUGUAGGAGCUACUAAAGCCACUUAAAAGUGUUUUACCCUGGAUUCGAGAAGUUGUUUCAUGGGAAAAACCAGCAACCACCCUCACUGUGAUUGCAACAACUCUACUAAUAGUGUACAAGUAAGUCAGUGCUCCCUCGUAAUUUUCUUAUAUACGGAAAUUUUUUUGAAAGUGCAUGUUGAUCAAGAACCACUUCAUUACUUGGCCUAUUAAUGUGUAAACUUUGCAAAUGACUAGUAAACUAUAUAAUGGCAAUGUAGGGAGUGGGUAGGCCAGGCUAUAGCUGCUUGUUUGCUCACCAUCGUGGUGAAGAUGCUUCAGGCAAGAAAAAAAAGGUUGACAGACAAAUGCAAUGAGAUAGUAGUAUGCACUGCUUCAGAUCAGAGCACCGUGGAGAGCAUUGUGUCGGCUCAAUACAGUUUGAUAACUAUUCAUGAGAUGUUGCAGGCAGCAAACAUUAUGAUUUUGAAGAUAUGGUCGAUAUUAAUUUCAAAGGCCCGCAAGGUACUCAUUUUGAUAACCUAUGCUUUCAGCUUAGCAAUUAAAUAUCGUUUUCAAUCAAUAUUGCUUAUUCGUCGUUAGCUGAAGUUCGUUUACCUACUACAUUUGUUGGAUGUCUUCAAUUAUUGAGGAGUCUUAGUUGCAUUUCCAAAUUGUUCUAAAUCCUCGUUUCAUUUAAUGGGUUGCAGCAUGCGGACACGGUUAUGGUGGCAUUGACUGGGUUAGCAAUAGUAUUAGCAGUUGUUCCAUUCAAGUAUAUUGUCAUGGGAGGUGUGCUGUACGGCUUCAUUAUGAACUCGAAGCCAAUGAAGUACCUGGGAAACAACUCAAACGACCAAAGCGGCAACAGACGUCUAAAAGAAUGGUGGGAGUCAAUCCCUAUUAUUCCUGUUCGCGUCGUGGACAAGCUUCCUGAGUGCCCAAAAUAAUGUGUCGGCUCCUGCACAAUCACAGUUGCCUAAAUCCUCUGUUUCUGAACUUUUGUUAUCAACUUACUGCACGAUAUACACUUCUGAGUUUGCUUUUGCCAUCAGAGUAGAACUGUAUCUGAAACACAGCAUACACUUAAAUGCUCAUUACAAAUUUGGAGAAAAGCACAAGUAGAAAAGGAUUGAAGACAUUCAGUAACGUUGAAAUUCUGCAUUUUCUUUAAUUUUUGUUAUGAACAAGUUUCUUAAUUAUUUGUUCUCUUGAUGUAAAAUAGCAUAUUGCUGGGAGUAAUGAAGAUGUGACUGUGCUUUUCCUAUUAGCAUGUUAAUAAAAGCAAAAUGGAAAAUUAUUAGUUACGUCCUCUCGUUUUGCGGCUUAUUGAGCUAACAAGUAACUUCUUCAUUACUAGCGUGCAAGUUUGCAACUAGUGAAUCUCAAAUAUAACUCUACCCAAUGGAUGGAUGUACGAUGGAUGUACCUACCCAAUCAUUUAUUUCUCAUUAAAUCUGUUAAAACAGAAAAAGUCCCGACGUCAUAUUCUUCGCGCCUUUUAAAAAACGACACGUGUCGUAUCCCACUACUCGCGUGCUGGAAACUUUAACCCACUCUGACUGCGUGACAGCAGAUCAUUCCCAAUUCAUUUCAGUUUCACUGUCACUUUCACUCCUCCUCAGGCGCCUUCCGACAAACAGGAAGAAUGCAAACUUGAAAACCCCCAAAAACCCUAACGUUCCCCCGGAGACCCUAACCCACCAUAAACCCUGGCUCUUAAUCCUAGCCACUAUGAGCGACCAAGACGAGCAAUCGCGAGCUCAGAAAGCCGCCCAGUUAACAAGUCCGCUCUCAUCCUCUCUCUCGAACCUUUCUUCUUCUUCAAGAAGCAUCCCCUCUAAUCAAGAUUUCCAUUUCUUCUACAAUUUCCCUGAAUUCAAUCAACCCGUCCAAGAAAUCGCGAACCAAUCGCAGCUCCUCCUACAAUCCAUCGGCUCAUCGGAGAUUUUUAACCAACCGAUCAAUUUUCCUGAUGAGGUUGACAUCUCGGACGCCUACGACUGGCUUGUCGACGUAAACGACAACGUUUUCGAGCGUAUGGAUGUUUCUUUCGACGAAUUUAGUAAAGUAAGAGGGGAAAAUGGGGAAGGAGAUGGAAAUGAAGGUGGCUUUCAGUUGGUUUAUGGGAAGAACAAGAAGAAGGGCGACAUUGUGGGUGGCUCUGCCCCGGCCAGUGUGAAAGUGAAGGACAGGAAAGAGAAAAGCAAGGUGCCGUUUCAUAUAUCGACUAUAACAAAACCGCAAGAGGAGUACAAGAUAGUUGUGAACAAUGCGAACCAGCCGUUUCAGCAUGUUUGGUUGCAGAAGAUUGAGGACAGUGGACGGUUUAUCCAUCCUCUUGUAAGUUUGUUAUUUUUUGAAUAUUUUGAUAUUGGAUUUGACUUACUGGGUUUGUUAAAUUUGUAAUCUGAAAAUAGUACCUUUCUUAGGGACUUUUUAGUGAUCAAUUAUUUCUUUCAUUUUCUUUUUGGGUGGUUUGUGGUAUAUGUUUACGCUUAUCUUGUUUGGAAUUUGUGUGCAAUUCUUAUUAUUCAUGCGAGAAUUUUAACACUAUCAUGUGGUUCAUGCUUGCCAAAAAUAUACCAAAACACUUUUGCUUAUUGCUAUUGCUUUAUUUGUACAGGACAAUCUUUCUGUUUUGGAUUUUGUUGAUAAAGAUAUAGGGGAUGUGGAACCUGUAAAACCUCCCUCGUUGGAGCAGACACCAUUCAAGCUUGUGGAAGAAGUUAAAGAUUUAAAGGAGCUAGCUGCUAAAUUGAAGAGCGUAGAUGAGUUUGCGGUAAAGUCUGACUUCUGUGAUUAUGUUUUAUUGAUAAAUAAUGCCGUGGUUCAGCCUUACUGCAGUAGUUUCUUUUUUUCAGCCUUUUGAUUUCUCUUUUCUGAUGGGGCAUUUCAUAUACAGAACUGAACACUGUCCUAUGUAGAGGAUAUAGUGUAGUUAAGGCACAUGUCACCGAUGUCAGCUACUUCAAAAUUAUAUAGUGCUGGAUGUGGUUUAAGCCAAUAAGACAAGAAAGGGGUGUGGCCGCCUAUGAAGAUACAUACAAAUAUGUUAAUAUUCGAAACAUAUACAAAGAAAUGUGCCUGUAAUAGUUUUCCUGUCUACGUAAAGUAGUAAACCAGCUGUCUAUUUAAUCUUGAUACAAGUUUUGCAUGUUUAAAAAAUUAUCUUUCAUCUUUAACAGUGAGUCCAUUUUUAGCUGUAAUCCUUUUCUCAAGCAUGACUUGGUUUUGCUUUCGUUUUCAUCUCAACAGUAAACCUGUUUGCAACUAGAAAACAUUGUAAUUUUUUUGUAACUUUUCUCUAGGUCGACUUGGAACAUAAUCAAUAUCGAUCUUUCCUAGGAUUGACUUGCCUGAUGCAAAUUUCCACCAGAACCGAAGAUUUUGUGGUAGAUACGUUAAAGCUUCGCGUUCAAGUUGGGCCAUAUCUUAGGGAAGUUUUUAAAGAUCCUACCAAGAAAAAGGUUGGUCCCUUCAACAUGCUCUCGCGUAGCUUUGUGAUAAAUCUUAUUUUUUCCCCCCCAAAUUAUGUUAACUUUUACUUUACUAGGUGAUGCAUGGAGCAGAUCGAGAUAUUGUGUGGCUUCAACGGGACUUUGGCAUAUAUUUGUGCAAUAUGUUUGACACAGGACAGGUUUUAUCCCUUGAAACUCUCUUUGAAAUUUGAGACUUUAUUGAUGAUCUUGUCUGGUUUUUUGUACAAUGGUUAAAUUUAUCUUAUCUUAUCUGCUUUUUUGUGGUCUAAUUUAUGAGUGUUGAUGCAAGCCUUUAUUCUACUAAAUUAGUUAAAUUGAGUUAUCUUUUGAUACUGUAUUUUCAAUUUUGUAAUUCAUCUUAUGUGUUUGAGUCAAGGUUUGGCUUCAAAAAGCCUUGUCAGUUACAUGUCAUCUCUCCCUUAAUUUUUUCAAAGUAGCUUCGCUUGUCAUUUGAACUAUUUGUAUCAUUAUUUUCAAUUUUGAUGUGGAACUUCCCCCAUUUAUUAAUGUUCUUUUGGUUGUUUUUGUGUAAUGCUCUUUUGUAAAUUUUACCGUGGCAUUUAUUUUGUUUUGCAUUUCAAAUAAUAGUGAGAAUUGCUUUUUUCAGUCCUAAGUUUAUUGGUUUAUUGUAAAUAUACUGUAUAUUUAUUUUGGUUUGCAUUGGGAGAUGAUCGUGGGAAUUUGUUUCUGUCUUUUCAUAAGGCCUCAAGAGUCUUGAAAUUGGAGAGAAAUAGUUUGGAGUAUCUUCUACAUCACUUUUGUGGAGUUAAUGCCAACAAAGAGUGAGUCCUUUUGUAAAGUACCUGAUCUGUUUCUCCUUAUAGUUUCCGCCCUUCAUCAUCCUAAGUCAACUCAUUGCAGAUACCAGAACGCAGAUUGGAGAGUACGUCCUCUUCCCGACGAGAUGCUGAGGUACCUUUGGUUCUCUUUUUAUCUUCUUUGUAACCUACUUUUCUAAUGAGUUCUCCAAAAAAAAAAAAAUUAUGAUCUGUUUGGCAUGAAAAUAAUUACUACUAUUUUAAAGUUCUUGUAUUCUUUGGAAAAGCAGAAAUCAUAUAUCAUCAUUUAAGUGUUUGGGGUUUCAUCUUUGCCUGUAUUUUUGUAGAAACUAAUAAUAUUUUUUUUUCUGUGGCUUAGGAUUUGAAUUGUGGGAAUAUCUAUGUUGGAAAUUAAUAAUGAGUGCACAUUGACUCUUGAUAGUGGACAAAUAUUUGGACAGCCAGGAAGGGGAAGGCCAACAAAAGUUUUGGGUUUUUAUAAGUUGAAGUUAUGAAUGGUUUUAUAAUUAAUUAGGUAUAGGUUUCCUCAUUUGGGUAUUUCUGGGAGAUCUGGGUUAUAAGAUUGAGAUAUUCCAGCCUGUAUAGAUAAUUGUAGGGUUGCCUGUGUUUGUGAUAUUCCAGCGCGUUUAUUAUUACUACUUCUUAUAUAUAUAAAAUUUUAGACUCUUUCCAUGUCUAACAAGAAGUUUUCAUGAUAUCACUUGGAUCCUACUCAUGCAGACUUGUAAGGCAUCCUUAGGUGCGGUUAUGUGAUCUGGUUUUUAUAAAUAUUUUUAAAUUUUUUGUCAGAGACAAUGCCUGUAGUGACAAUGUACUGACUUAUCUUUUGGUUAUUACCAAGCUGAAUCAGGUUGCCUGUGGUUUAUGACCAUACCAUUUGGUCUUAUAAAAUGUUCUUCCCUUCACCUCAUGUUCUCAUACUUUAAAGCAUGAAUAAUAUCUAAGGGCCUGAGAUUAUUUCAUUAAUUUUUCCCAAGUCUAGAUCCUUCCCAGAGAAAUGGAUGGAUUACCCACACACUCACCAGUAACAUGUCGUACUUUAUGACGGUUUUGCAUUACUGCUGUAUGUCAUUUAAUUUGCCCUUUUGAGGAUUCUUUAUUUUCUCUGGGCUGAUGUUACUUUGUGGUGCUUUUUUUUCCUAUUUAGUCAAAAUAUAUAUUCAUCAUAGAGUUUCUCUGUUAGAAUUUUCUUAGCUUUGAGGAUUCGUUAGUGGCAUAUCAUCCAAUUGAUUAUACUUGUGAUGACAGAUACGCUAGAGAAGAUACACACUAUCUGUUGUAUAUAUAUGAUAUAAUGAAAAUCAAGUUGUCCUCAAUGCCCAAGGAGUCUGAGAAUUCUGAUACUCCCCUGACAGAGGUAUGAUUUUUGCUUAACUGUUGGUGUUGUUUUGUAAAACUGUUGGGCAUCUCUAUGAUUAUAGAGAAUCCAUUUUUAAAUGCUUUUUUCAGAUCUUGUUGUGCCAUGUAUGACAGACCAUUGCGUCUGGAGAUUGGCAUGGAGCUUAAUAAUUACAAUGUUAAAAAUAGAACAUAAAAUAUUGGGAAGUAUCUAUCAUGACUAAUUCUUCAACUGUUUAAGGAAGAUAGUUUAAAUCCGAAUAUCCUUUUUUGGAUUGUGGACUAAAGAAAAUUGUCAACUCUUGAUUUCUCUUCCCAAGGAUGAAGACGUAUCAGUCUGUUGGCAAACACAUUUUUUGAAUUUUACUUUAGUUAUCUAUAAUUUUACCAUAUUGAGCAAACAUUUUGUUGCAAACAGGUCUACAAGCGCAGUUAUGACGUAUGCAGGCAGCUGUAUGAGAAGGAGCUUCUGUCAGAAAAUUCUUAUCUCCACAUUUAUGGGUUUGUCUUUGUCCCUAUUCAUCUCAGUUUAAGUUUUCAUUUAGUGGCCUCGCCUGUUUAAAAUCUUCUCUCAUACAGUUUUUGUUUGUUUCAUUCUUUACUUAGCAUUACUUCUCUUGUUUAAUUUUAGUUCUAUUUUGGACUUCGUAUUUAUGUGAUUUGACAGAACUUAAUCAGUGGAGCUUAUUUCUCUAUGUUGAAAUAGGUUGCAGGGGGCUGGUCUCAAUGCUCAGCAGCUUGCUGUUGUUGCGGUAUGUCAGUUCUUCAUGUGUUUUUCAAACUUUGCCACUUUUCUAUCUGGAUAUUAUAUGCAUGAGGAUGCUACUGAAAAUGUAUUAUCCGCAUGUUUUGUUUACUAGUUGCAUCUUCAAAUGAAACAAAGUCUUGACCCAGAAGAAUCCGUAACGCACCAAUAGUCACUAAUAGGAUUGUCUUGAGAAAUUUACUUCUAAAUUUUUGAGUGGAUGAUAGAAGGGUGGAUUUUAAGUAGCUGACACAUCAUUGCCAACUGCUGAUAGAGUCUGUUGCAUACUUGAGUAUUCUUGCUAGUUCUGGCCCCAUUGAUCCCACUUCAAUGAUUUGCAGGGUCUUUGUGAAUGGCGAGAUGUUAUUGCUCGUGCAGAUGAUGAAAGUACUGGCUAUGUAUUGCCAAACAGAACUCUGAUUGAAAUUGGUAGAAACCUGUCUGAAUUUCCUCCAACUCUCUCUUCUAUAUGUAUAUAAUCCAUUUGGUGAGUUAUGAGUUAAUCAUAUUUUCCUUUUGUGGUAAAAGCCAAACAGUUGCCUACUACUGCUGCCAAGUUACGUCGAUUGUUGAAAUCAAAGCACUCAUAUAUUGAACGCUAUAUGGGUCCGGUACUUAGCAUCAUAAAAAAUUCUAUGCAAAAUGCUGCUAAUUUUGAAGUCAUUGCUCAAAAAUUGAAAGAGGAACGUAUGGAAGUGGUAAGACCUGCAUGCUCAUGUUUGAUUGUUUUGUUAUAUCAGUGAUCCAAAUUGAUUAUUUUUCUUUGAGAAUUUGAUGUUAAUGCCUUCAAUGGAUUGCCAACAUACAUUGAUUUUCUUUUUCUUUUCCUUGGAUUUCGUUAGAAUCAGACCAACCAUCUUUUAAACGAGGAUGAUGGUCCAAAACCUUAAGGUCUACUACGAUGAAUUGCUACUUUUUGUGCAAGUUCUUGUAAUUCACUCAGCUGGUUGUCUUCGGCAAAUGAAAGGAAAAAGGAAAUUCAUCCAAUCCAGUUCUAUUGAAGAAAAAGAAUCCUAGUUGAUCUUACAAAAUUAAGCUUUCAUAAUUUGUUAACCCAUGGAAUGUGAUUAAAACUCAUGGACAAAGGAUGUUCCAGUUGAGAAAGGGAUUUGAGUGAUUUUUAGCAAUUAUCAGUGAUGUCUUCAUUAGAAGUAAGUUUAUGGUUUAUAGCAGUAAAUGCUCAAUAAUUAGGUACUCCUUGUAUAUUGGCUGACCGGGUCCCAUGUUUGUAGUAGGUUUUGUGAGCUACAGAGGAUUAACUUCAGUCAGUUUUCCAUGUUAUGGCUGUUAAGAGCUAUGUCACCAUUUUUCUUUGUUUACAUCAAACUAAUCUUUUUUUUUCCCCCCAUUUUUCCUUAUUUGUGUAGGCAUCAGAAGAAACUGAAGUUUUAGUUCUUGAUACUUCCUCAAACUUGAAAAUUCCGAAUGUUGGAAGGGAGAGUGUUGAUGGUGUUGAUGCAUUAGUUGGUACCACGAUGCCUCACCCACCAGCUUACACCCAGCUGAAACAAGAGCCUCCAAAGGUUGGAAGCAGUGUCGCAGAACUUGACAGAAAUGGACUAGGGUCUUUUGCGCAUCCUGGAGAAGCAAUUGCUUCAGAAAAUAAAGAAGCUACUCAUAUUUCAACACUUUCCAGCUCUGGUCAAAGUAGAGACUUGAAUGCUUGCAAGUCACCUUCACCAAGGGUUGUGAAUUUGAUGCCUUAAUGUGGAUUUUUUUUUUUUUUGGUUAAGAGGUUUAGCAUUCAAUUUCUUUUUCUUUGGUUGUGAAUUUGAUGCCUUAAUGUGGAUUGGAUUUUUUUUUUUUUUGGUUAAGAGGUUUAGCAUUCAAUUUCUUUUUCUUUAUAGGUUACUGAAGCUGCUGUUCAGGCUCUAAAGAAGCCGAACCGUGGUUUUGGAGCACUGCUGGGUAACCCAAAGAGAAAGUUUGAUGGCGAGAAAAAGGUGAGUUAAUCAUUUGCUAGUAAUGGUUGUUAAACAUCUGCUAUGUCAUUGUCACAUAGCAAAAUAACUAUUUCUGAGGCCUGCCAGUCACCCAGUUUGUGCAUGUGUGGUUGGGAAGAAGGCAACAAAGGAAGAAUAUAGUUAAACAUUUGCUAUGUUAUUCUUACAUAGCAAAAUAACUACUACUGAGGCCUGCCAGUCAGCCAGUCUCUGCAUGUUGGUUGCAAAGAAGGCAACAAAAGAAGAAUGUUUUUUUUUUUUGAAUCUUCAUUCCAUGAUUCACUUUCUUUUCAAUUUUUCUUGUCAACUAGCAUGUACAUUUGCCUUCUUGUUGCCUUUUUCGUUGCGUGAGUCAUUAUGAAUUAUGAUUUAUAUUAUACGGAAAUUGUGAGUGGGCAACUGUUGGGCUAUAAUCAAACAUGCAAAAUUUCGGGUCCCAUGACUAAGCGCUGCUAUCAUCUGGAUUUGUGUGUUGUUGCAUUUUAUAUUUGGUUAACACCCUUCUUAUUAUCCUCCUUUUGAUUGUUUGUUUGUCUUAAUUAGGACAAGGAAGCUAUGAAACUAGAGCAGAUUAAAUCCUCAGUCAAUCUUCCAUUCCACUCAAUUUUUGCAAGAGAUGAACAGUUAAAACCAGUUGAUGUGAUGAAGUCUGAACCAAAUAAGCCUGACAUUCCAUUUCCUUCAUCUUUUGGUAGUGGGCAACAAACGAAACCAAUCAUAGAGGAAUCCAAUAGAGUUACAGUAGUUUCCCAAUCAGAAGAACCCGCUCCGGCUGCUAGGUCUGAUACAGAAGAUAUUAUUACGUUGGAAGAUGAUAUAGAUGAAGAGGAACAAAACCUUGGUAAUUUGGAAACUGCAAGUGCGCCCGGAGAGGACGGUUCUGCAGGGUCUGCUUUGGAAAUGGGUAAACAAGAUGAGACCAUGUCUCUCUCUGAUUUAUCAACUAGUUUCCAGGAGUGCUUCCACUCUGCUAACAACAAUAGAAAACCUGGAAAGCCUGAGAGAUCUGAAGAACCUAGUGGUUUUUUGCAGCUUAAGCCGUUUGACUUCGAAGCAGCUAGGAAACAGAUCGAGUUUGGAGAAGAUGCCAAAGAAAAAUCAGCUGGGGUUGAUGGAAACAAAAGAAAACCAGUGAACUCUGGAGAUAAGAAAAAAGUUUCAGCUGUAGAUCAAGCUCAAAAAGAUGAUGGAACAAAAGAACUGUCACAAGGUAGACGACGUUCUGCUUUUCCUGCAACUGGAAAUCGAAGUGCAACAUUUCGCUGAGUCUCUGGUAUCAAUCAUGCUGCUCUGUGUAGCAGAAAUUAGUUGAAUUUUGGAUUUUCACAAUCAUGUUCUUGAUUUAAAUGGAAAUUAAUGCUGGUGGACAAAUUCGCAAUGGUUGUACGUAUAUUUCCAUUGCUUGAGGUCUUGUCUGAUACAGCAUGAGCUAACCUGAUCAUCUUUUGAUAUUCAGUAACAGGAGAGAUGUAUGGUCUGCAGGAGCCAAUGAUGGGCAAGUGAUACCUGAGGCCGGUGUCUAUUUGAAGGUAAAAUGGGCGAUGGUUCUAGGUUUCAUAUUAGGUUUUUGAUAGUCUUGAGUAAUUGCCCUACUAUCUUCAUAUUUAAAAAACAGGAUGGUUUCAAACCAAAGUGCGGUUUGUAAUCAAAAGCAUUUGAUCUUUUUGUUUUUGUAACUUUACGGGUUUUAUUUUUAGAAAAAUGGUUCUGUACUAUGGUUUAUUUCUGCCUUAUUUGAUAUUGUGGUCAUCUUAGGCUUUAUUUAGUGUAAUUUUUCAGUUAUAUGUUCGUUUGGGAAGAGGAAAUGAAGUUAAUUUUAUUUCACACUUGCAUAAGAAAAAAUUGUAAUGUUUAUAUUAUUUUUGUUAAAAUUAUUAUUUAAAAAUUAUAUUUGAUAUCUAUUAAUAAUUUUUAUUAUAAUUAUAAUUUUCUUUUUCCUCCAUCAUCUCAAUUGCUUAUAACUGCUGUUGAGGAUGGUUGGUGCGAUGUUAAUAAUUUGUAAAGGGCUUAGUAACAUCUGGUUCCGUGAUGUCGGCCAAACCAUAUCGAAGGGCUUAAUUUGACGGUCAUCGGGGCCUCCUGCCCAGCUGCCCUCCUUUACGGAUUCCGCUUCCGCAAAUUAUUUUAUAUAAACUGUUGUUACAUGAUAGUGGUGGCCGGAUGAAAAUACUACAUGACCAUAUAAUGCUUUCGGUGCAAUGAGUGAAAAAGAGAAAUUUUUAUGUAUUCUCGGAUUGAAGGAGAAAUUUUAAGAUUAAGAUUGUGGAGUGGUAGCAGGAGUAAAUUAUUUACUUACAUCACUAUGAGAGUGUGGAACGAAAAUUAGAAAUUAUGUAUUUUCUUUGUCUUAGAUUGAGAGUGAAUCAUUUUAAAUUAUAAUUUUAUCCUUAUUUAAAGAAUUGUAGUUUUUAAUUAUAAAGUAAAUAAAAAAAUAUAUUUGCACAAUAAAUUAUUUAUUUUGUUAUUAAUUUUAAUUAUAUAAAUUAAUAAUAAUUAUUAUUAUUCUUAAUCAUGUGAAUCAUGAUUUUUUUGUUAAUUUUNNNNNCGUACAGCAGAAAUAAAUAUGAUAUUUUUAUUUUUAAAUAAAUGUGAUAUUAUUUUUAUUUUUAUCAAUAUAAUUAUAUUAUAUUCAAUAAGGAAAUGAUAAAAAGAAAGAAGUGGGAGUAGAUUUCUACUUUUUAUUCAAAAACAAAAAUGAGACCCACAGAGUAGAAGCCUAACUCUCCUCCUUAGAUGAGUACUAAAACGUUUAAGUAGGAGAAAUUCAUAUUUUUGACUCCCACUCUACAAAGUAAACAUAAUAAUAAUAUCAUAAUAACAUUUGAUAAUUCUAUAUAUUUGUGACGUCAUAUCUCAUCAAUUGAUUAAUAAAAUUAAAUGGUGAUUAUUUAUGAAAGAACAAAAUUAAUUCAUGUGAGUUAUGGUUAAUAAAUAAAUAAAAUAUAAAAUGUUAAAUUUUGACUAUAAACUAAUUUCAAUAUCUAAUAAUUUAAAAGCUCAAUAGAGCUAUGAUAAAAACUAAAGGGAGGAUUCUUAAUCCGAUCCGGGAUCUUAAUCAGUUCAGGACCGAUCCACUUCCAGCUAUUACGCGUCAAACAUCCAUUUGACGAUUGACGUGUCACGCCAUCUCACUGUCCUCACAAGAAAACCCGUUACCUUCAAAAUGCUCCAAACCCAUCAACGCCGAAUUCAAAUCAAGCCCCAAGACCAAAUACAAAGCAAAAACAAAUAAACAAACGUCUGUUCAUUCAGUCUGAAAAAAUCAAAAGAAGUAAAAGGAUUGGCGAUGGCGAUGGCGGUUGAAGGAGGAGGGACAUUAUCGGAGAUAUAUCAAAGUGCGAAGAAGUUGCUGUUGAGAGCGAGAGACGGAGUUGAGAAACUGGAGAGACUGGAGAGCUCGACGUCGACUGGGGGAUACGAUUCGCCGGAGCUCUCCUUCGCUGUCAAGAAAGAUAUUUCUCAGAUCCAGUCACUCUGCGUCGAGAUGGAUCGCCUAUGGCGCUCCAUCGCCGACAAGUCUCAGCGCGAUCUCUGGAAGAGGUACCUAUUCAUUUACUGUUUUGCCACGUGGCACCGAAUCAACCUUGUGUCGUGUCCUAAUUGCUCUACGCCAGUUCGGUUGCAAUUCUGUGCAUGAACCGCAAUUUUUAUACUGAAUAUUACAUUAUUGAUUUUGUCUGAGCGACAAGGCAUGCUUCCACGUUUACUUGUUGCUUAGUUUUAUUGUUUUGCCUUCUAUGUUAACAGUCUAUAUAAGUUUUAUAUGUGUUACAGGCAUGUGUAUAUAUGGAAGUACAUUAAUAGCUGUUCAUGCUGUUGCUUGCUUGAGGUCGUUGGUAUAUUUGCAUUUGGAACUAAAUGUGCUUGGUGUGGGUUCGCUAUGUGUGUGUGUGUGUGUGUGUUUGUUUGCGUUUGAUGUUAAAUGGAAUUACCUUCUAUCGAGUCAGUGCCGCAAUUUGAUUGCUUGGUUUUUCAGAGGUGUGUUUUUAUGUUAUGUCAUGCAGAAAAGUUGAACAAGUAGCAGAAGAGGCUGAAUCAUUGAAAGAGAGUCUCGAUAAGUACUUUUUAAGAAAUCAGAGACGGAUAAAUGAAGCUAGAGAGAGGGCGGAAUUGCUUGGAAGAGCUGUAUGUUUAUUCAGUUUUCGUUAGAAGUUUUGAACGGAUUCUGUAGUGUUUUUCUUGUCUGGAAACGAGAAUUAGCUUUCCAAUCUGAUGAAUUUCUUUUAUGUUAUAGAAUGGAGAGUCGUCUCAUAUUUUGAGAAUUUUUGACGAGGAGGCGCAAGCAAUGCAGUCAGUACGCAAUUCAUCGAGGAUGUUGCAAGAAUCGUUUGCAACUGGGACAGCCAUUCUUGCCAAAUAUGCAGAACAAAGGGAGCAUCUAAAGGUAUUGACACUUAAGCUCCUUGUUUACAUGCACAGUUGCACACUAGAAAUUUUUGCCAAGCUCACUCAAACUGUGUGCAAACAAAGUUCACUAAACAGGGUCAAAUGAGAAAUUUACAUUCUUGUCAUGGUUGUAUUCUUAACAUGAUUAAAUAUUUAAAUGAGAACAAUGUUAGAUCCUCAAAGCAAUUAUCUUUAAUAUUGAUUUAUACUACUGCUAUAGAAAUUAUAAGUGUUUGCAGCACCUGCACAAAUGGCUGCAGAGAAUUUAGUCUGUCUAUGGUAAUAAUUUUAAAAGCUGGUAACUCCAAAUAUUCAACAGUGGCUGACAAAAACAAUCCUCAAGUUUUAAAGUAAAAGCAAACUUUGCUUUGAAAUAAUCAGUGACAACAAUGACGUGAAAGUGUCACCAACUGUUUAUAUAUAAUAUCUCCAAUAUUCCAGAAUUUAGUUUCAUAAUGGCUGGCAAAGACUUGGUUUUUUUAAGGUUUAAAGUAAAAACGAUCUCUGCUUUGAAAUGUUCAGUGGCAACAGUGAUGUAAAAUGAUCAGCAACUGUUCAUAUCUAGUAUCUCCAAUGUUUAGAAUUUUGUUUAAAAGAUCCGUUCCAUCCAUAAAAAAAUUUCAUUCUGAAUAAGCAACUCAAGAUUACACUUCGCAAGAACACACCAUCUACCAUUUCUCACAAAUUUAAAUGUCACAACCUAUGAUCCAUUACCAAUUGUGAGAAACGGCAGAUUAUUUGUUCUAAUGAAGUGUAAUUUGAGUUGCUUAUUUAAAAUGAAAUUCUUUUAUGGGUAGAAGGGAACUUCUAAACGAAGUUCUAGGAAUCAAAUUAGCUGUUUAGAUUUGAAUAGUUGGUGAUGCUUUGAUGUCACUGUUGCCACUGAUUCUUCUCGAAAAGAAACAGAUUUUUAAAUGGUAUUAUAGAGGUCACAGAAAAAAAAUAGUCAUGCUAUCAUUGAUAGCACUUGCCACUGAUGUUGAUAAUGAGUUUAACUGAUUAACUUCCAUCUUUGGUUCAGAAAGCACAAAGGAAAGCUCUGGAUGUUCUCAACACUGUGGGUCUGUCCAAUUCAGUAUUGAGGCUCAUUGAGAGGAGGAACCGUGUCGAUACAUGGAUCAAAUACGUAGGAAUGGUUUCUACAGUGGUCAUCUUAUAUUUCUUCUGGAGGUGGACUAGGUGAUCCGAUCUUCAUACUUAGCCACGCAUAGAUCAUUAAUCCGCAUACUUUGGAAUGAUUAAGUUUUGUUCUUGAUAUUUGCCCCAUAAGAGGGUUAAUGAGGAUGUACAAGGCAUUCUUUGAUGAGAGACUAUCCUCUUAUGAGGAUGUAUAAAGCAUUCUUUGUUAAGAGACUAACUCGUAUAGGACGGACUCCCAAAGAAGGUUCUUUGCAAUUCUUGAACAUUUAGAGCGAAGUUGACGAAACGUGCUAGUUGUUUUUGUAUUUUGGCAAAAGGGGAAUUACAGAGUUCGAAGAUUCUAAGAAAUGCGCCAAUUUUGUUUUGUUGUCAGAACGCAAAAACGGCCUGAUUGUGGACGGUUAAAUCCGGAAUUAUGUAGUGGAUUUGCAGUUAUUGAAGGGCAUGCUUGGGAAAAUAAUAUGGUCAAAUAAAAUCAAGAACAAUUAUAUUGUAUCUGCUGUUUAUGCGUCCGUACUUGAAGGUGUCCACGUGGCUGGUGUGUGUUUGUUAAACCAGUAAAAUUAAGUAGUGCGAAGUUCUGAUCGCCGCUCAUUGAUUGUUUUUUUUUUUAACUUUAAAUAAACUAUGAGAAAAGGCUUUGAAUGAGUCGCAGAUAAAUUAAAGUUUUUUUUUUCUUCUUCUAAAUUUAUAUCCAAUGGUUCGGCACAUGUUAUUUUCUUUAUUUUUAGUGCACACGGUAAACUAUUGAUAGUAUUUGGUGUAAACUCACUUUCAAAUCGAUGCUUCACGAAAAGUCCAAAUGACGCGCUAUGAAAGUAAUAUAGAUAACUAGGAUAAGUGGAAAUGAUAAACGAAUAAAAUGAAGUAAAAAGAAUUUUUCAUUUUUAAGGGUUACAAAAUAAGAAUAGUUAAUUACUUAAUUAGUUGACUUGCUAAAAAUUUUUCAUGCAAACAAAUGGUCUGGACUGGAAUCCGUUUAAAUGGAUAGGAAGAAAAUUAGAGUGUCGUAAAAGUACUGGAGUUUCAAAUCCCCUCACGUAGUCACAAGGAUUAGAAGAAAAUUGAAUUGUUAGGCAAAAUGAAAAAAAAGAAAAAAGCUUAACAUUUUUAUUUUCUAAAAAAAUGUUUUUCUUAGUUGUUUUGUUUUUUAAUUUUAAAUAUAUUUAAAAUUUUGAAAUUAAUAAAUGACUUUGAAAACUUGAGUGUGCUCGAGCCUCGAGAUCUACUCAAAUUCUUUUACAUUAUUACAUUAUGAAAAAUUGUAUGAUGUCGUGAUUAAACUAUUGUAUCAAUACUAUGAUAAACAUAAAUUUUAGAAAUUAUAUAUAAGACUAGUAAGUGAAAUGUAAAAUAAAUUAAUUAAUAUAAGAGUGGUAAAUAAUGUUUUAAAAUUAUAAACAAAACAAACACUUAUAAAAAUAACAUAAAAAUUAUAAAUCAACAUUAAAUUUUAAUGUAAAAAUAGUUUAUUUAUUUAAUUUAUUCAAGCAAAGAAAAACUUUACUCAUCAAUUGAAAACAAAAAUUUUGUAUUGAAAACAAUGGGAAUAAGUUUUAUUAAUUGAUUUAACCAUGAAUUUUAUAUUCAUGUCAGGAUAUUUAUAAACUGUUUUUUUUUUUCAUUUUCUAUCAUAGUAUUUGUUUACUAUACAAGUUGAUUAAGUAAACUUAUUAUUAUUAUUAGUAUUAUUAUUAUUAUUUAUGUGGAUCAAGCCAAAACAAAAUAAAAAUACAUUUGAAUAUUACUAGACAUAUAUGGAAUAUUAAUACAAUUGAAUCUAACUUUCAGUUUUAUACAUAAUUCAUCUAGUUUCAAAUUUUACUUCUUAUACUAAAAGAUCAUUUGAGGUUGCUAUCGAGGAGGUUUAAAAUGAUGCAAAAUCACUUAUAUCACAAAUAAAAUAUGAAAAAAAAUUUCUAAAAUUUGAUUUUGAGAGUAAGUUUUAUCCUUAAUAAAAUUCCACAUAUAUUAUCACGUCUAUUACAUAACCACAGAAUUAUCAUUAUUUGAUUUAGAAAUAAAAAUAGUAAAUAUAUAAUGUAAUCAUUAUUAUAGUGAGUUUUUAUUUAUUUUUUCAAUAACUCUUAUAAUAUUUACUUAUUUUACAUUCAUUUACAACUCUUCUAUUUUACUUUUAUAAUUUAUAUGUUAUUUUACACUUAAUGUUGAUGUACAAGUUUUAUAUCACAUUUGUAAACAAGUUUUACUUUAUAUUUACAUGUAUUAUGUUUUAUUUACUUAAUUCAUGUUUUAUUUUAUACUUAAUGUUGAUUUACAAGUUUUAUAUUAUAUUGAUAUAAGUUUUUAUUUUAUUUACUAAUGAUAUAUCAACUUACCACUGUUAAUUUACUUAUUUUACCUUCAAUUUGCAAGUCUUGUGUUUCAUUUACAUAAUUUAUUAUGUUUUAUUUUACGUUUAAUGUUGAUUUACAAGUUUUAUGUUAAAUUUACACCUCUUAUAUUUUAUUUACACAAUUUAUGUUCAAUUAUAGUAUAUUAUAGAAUGACUCAUUUGACAUUACAAUACAAAAUUAUAAACAUAAAUAGAUGUAUCAAAAAGUCUUGUCGAAAAAUGAAUCCACCUUAAUACGGACCUGUCUCAUUGUUUUAUAAUUAAAGUUGCACACUCUUACAAUGAACUUGAAGAAAUUGAAUUCUCAACAUCAAUAAUGAGGUGUCUAUUACUAAUAAUAGUUUAUAAAAAAAAUAAAAAAAAUAAAGAAAUAUGAUUAAAUUGAUCAAUGUAAUUUUAUUAAAAAAAAGAAGCAUUUUUAUUACAAAAGCAAUCUCAAAAUAUAUAUUUUUUGUAGUUACAAAAAAUCAUGACCUAGUGGCGACCUAGUGGCGACCUGGUGGGCGUAUAUACAAAAAUCAUAAUAUUUUUAUACUGAUUACAUAAAUUCGGUGAUCACAGACCACAGUAAAACCCUGAAACCGCCCAACGGGGUUCUUUACCAGAGGAAAAAAGGGAGGAAAGAAAAUGACUUUUUAAUAUAACGGCACGGGUUUAAGCCAAAAACGGUGGAAUCAAAUCAUUGACACGUUCGUGCGAUGCCUUCACUCCUCAGGCAAACCAGACUCCCGCAUGUGAAUGCCACGUGAACGUAGCUUCUUCACAUAAUUUUUACCCCAAUGUCCAAAUUACCCCUUAUCUUUUACUCCUUUUUUUUUCUUUUUAACUUUGCCCGAUUUUGAAGUCUAUUACGUAUUGCGGACUGCUGCCCUCGCUUGACGUGUUUUUUCUCCUUUUUUUUUUUUUUCCCUCUCCAAACUAUUCUUUUCAAUUUUAACUAAAUAAUUUUUUUUUUUAUUACGAACAUCAACUUAAAAUUUAGGUUAGUUAGACACUUCCCCACUUCAUCCUUAAAGUCAAGUAUUCAUAUCUAUCUGUCUAUGGUGAAUAAUUUUUUUUAUUUUUUAAACUACGAACAAGUUAUCUUUUUUUUUUUUCUUUUCCAAUAUCACUAUUUAUCCACUUUUAGUUUAAUUCUUUCUGCCUAAGAUGAUCAAUUUAAAUUAAAAAUGGGAUUUUGAAAUUAUUUACUAAAAAUCAUGAUUGUUCUUUUGACGUAUUUGAAUAAAGUUUAUUUGGAAAAAUUAAUGUAAAAAAAAAAAAUGUUGGAAGAUUACGACAAUGGAAAUGUAGUCUCUGGUGAAAUGCUCUGAUUCAAUCAAUCAUCAGCAAAUGCGGUUCGCACGUUGGCAAUGGAACUCGUGAUAGCACAACCGUGAAAUGUCCUUCAUUUGGGAGUCCACGUUAAUCACAUGUGGGUCCAUCUUGAGUGCUUUUGUGCUUUACAAUUAAAAUAGACAGACAGGCUGAUGACCUGACAAUUUCGAGCCUGAUAAAGCCCCUUCAUCAACUUGAUCAGAAGGACAGGACAGCUAUUAAUAGAAAAAAGCAGCAGACUAGUACUAAUCGAGAAGUCAAACAGAUAAAAACUAAAACUAAAUAAUCUAAUCUCCUCCUAAUUCACUAAAUUAUUUUAUUUCUAUUGGUAUAAUUAAUUAAUUGAUUGAUUAAUCAAACAUGCCUUCACAAUUAAAUAGUUUCAACAGUGUAAGUUGAACCACGUGUCAAGCAAAAGCAACCAUCAUUUAUUAUAAUUUUUUUUUAUUUUUUUCGAAAAAGGAAAAAUCAAAAAACAAGGCAAGUUGAUGCCAACAGGAUCUGAUCCGGAAGGGUAACCGAGUCAUUUCGCCGUCAUGCAUGCCUCAAUCCGGAUUGCCUGCCCGCCCCCACGUUGGAAAACCAGGGACGCAUCGAUAAGCAGUUUCAACACCCAAAACACAAACUUGGGGGCGGGAAUUGCAAAACGAAAUAACAGCUUUUGCUUUUGCUUUAAUUUUUUUCCGUUUGUUUUCUUAAAAAGAAAGAAAAAAAAAAAUACUCCCAGUUCCACAAUAGAGCCCCUGGUUUUGCCUAUUUCUUUAAUCCUUUUACGCAGACUCAUGAUAAAUAUCUCCAUCUAUCAGUCAGUCCAUACGGUUUCCUUUCAUCACCAACCCCACCAACGAAAACAAAAAAAACAAAACAAACCCCCUCUUCAGAAAUAUAAUUAUAAUUUUCUUUUUCUAUUGAAUUAAGCUUGUUGGGUAUAAUUUGCUAAUUAAUCAAAGAUCGAUCUAUGACGACGGAAGCGGUCAGCAAGGUUGGAUAUGCGCAUAGUAAGGUUGCUAUGAAGAAGAAGAGCGGUUAUCGAGGUCGAUGCAGGAGAAGAAAUCACGACAGAUAUGCACCCGAUAAUAAAACGGUGCCGAUGGCGCUGCAGCGUCUGUUUCUUUCUUGCAAAGACGUCUUCAGAGGCCCUGGAACCGUUCCCGCUCCUUCUCAUGUCCAAAUGUUGUGCUCUAUUCUUGGUAAGUGUUUUUUUUCUUACACUUCAUCAUUUCUGGUCCAAUUUUCUUGUUUUUCAUUUGGCCGCUGCACUCGCAUGACGUGUAUGUUGUGAAAUCUGAACCCAUCAUCAUCCUUCAUCCAUGCACAUAUAUAUUAUCAGUCAUGAGAAAUUUUGAAUCAGCCAUUAAAAAAAGAAAAAAAAAAAGAAAAGGAAAGAUUCAAUAUUAUCAAAUCAAUACCAUUUUGUUUCAUGAGAUGAUCUAUGAAAGAUGGGAAAGGAGCACUGCUCCUUAUUUCAUUUCCUGUCACGUCUGUGUUUCAAUCAAUUGUAAUAAUACAUAUAGCCACGUAAAAAGCAAGGGGCAAUACUCUUUACAGCACGAAAACCUUCUCAAAAAAGGGGCUUUACUUUAUUGGCAGUAAUGAAUUGUUUUGAGCAAUUCAAUUCAUCAGUGCACUUAUCAUGUUUACGUAGUUUGUCAAUUUGGUUCCAGUUUUUGGUUCUUUUUAUUGGAUUCAGUGCCGAAAUGUCAUGUGUGUUCAUAGGACGUACUGGGAAAAGGAUUAGAAAUCUGUACUGAAUUUUUUUAAAUUUUGGGGGGGGGUUUUUUUUUGGGGUGGAUGGGGUUAUGGAUCUAAGUGGAUGGUACCAAUUUUCAAAAAUGUAGUUUAAUUAACUUUCCAGUUGAAAUUACAAAACCAAACCAUCCGAAAUGGAUUCUUCGAGAAAAGGUGGGUUCAGAAAACAAAGUGGUUGCUUCUAGGUGAAUCCAGAUUUUUUUCACGCGGACACAUGGUACCUUUUGGUUGAUUACCCAGCCACAGUGUUGCUUGAGGGGACAAAAAUAUCAUAUUUGUUUUUUUUUUUUUUUCCAAAUUCCUUUUUAAUUCGUAACUCAAUCUCAUGGGAUCCUACUCAGCAGCCAUUGUGAUUAUUUUUUUUACCUGACGACGCAAAAAUCUUUGCAUUAGAAAGGAUACAUAAGCACAUUUGCCUACUGUUGCUACGUGUACAUGUGCAAUGGUUUGGUUGCAAAACUGGAAGCAUUGGCACAUUAUAUAUAUGUGUGUUUUUUUUUUUUUAAUAUGUAUAAAUGCAUGGAUCAUGACACUUGGCUAAGUUAAAAUUUCCAUUUUCUCGUUAUCAUAAAGAUUGCCAGUGACUCAAACAAGCUUUUCUUUUUAAAUUUAUGAUGCUACAGAUGAAAUGAAGCCAGAGGAUGUUGGGCUUAGCAGUAAGUUACAGUUACUUAGUGCCAAAGAUGCAAUGAAAGGGACGCCAAUUGUCACAUCCACUACAAUAUACAAAUGCCAGAACUUUUCGGUAAAGACAUAAGCUAUUCAUAUUGGGCUAAAUUAAAUUCUUUUAUUAUCGUAUACUAAUUUGUAAACCAUACUAAUUAAUAGUGCAAAUUUGAUUUAGAACUUGAUAGAUUACCUUUUGGAUUCUCUUUUGUGCAGUUGUGUCUUUUCUUUCUUCCUCCAACUGCUGUGAUCCCCUUGCACAACCAUCCGGGAAUGACUGUUUUUAGCAAGCUUUUGCUCGGGACAAUGCACAUAAAAUCGUACGAUUGGGUCGAUCCUGUUGACGCAAACGAUUCUGCAGCCCCCACAAAACGUGAGUACCGCUUACCUUAUACAUAUAUGUCCAUGUAUAAUGCACACACGAACACACACACACACACACUCACAUAUCAAAACAACACGAUAACUUGAAUGUGCUAGCUCGGACUAGGAUGAUCAUUUGUGACUGAAAGUGAUGAUUUAAUUAAUUUGCAGCGCGAUUGGCGAAGUUGAUAGCCGACAGUGAUUUCACAGCACCUUGCAACACUUCUGUGCUAUAUCCAACAACAGGAGGCAAUAUCCAUGAAUUCACAGCCAUUACGACAUGUGCCGUGCUCGAUGUGCUUGGACCUCCCUACUCUAAGGACGAUGGUCGGGACUGCUCAUAUUACAAGGAGUUGCCACUUCCCGCGGUUCCAAGUAAGCGAAACAAAACCACUUGUUACUGAUUAAAAACAACCUCGUUUAAACCUCCUCGAGUAGCGCUUUCAGAGGUCUUACCAAUUAAACCCACCGAUUUUGUUAAUGCAGAUGGAGAGAAUCAGGAGGCAAAAGAGGAUGAUGGUGGUGAGAGUUGUAGGUGGUUGGAAGAGAUUGGGGUGCCAGAGAACUCACACAUGGAUGAAAUUGAGUACUUGGGACCGCAGAUAAUUGAGUAGUAGCUGUAACUAGCUUCAGCCCACAGUCGCGUGAUAAAAAAAAAUUUCAACGCAUUAUCUUCUUUUGUUUCAUAGCUAGUCAAUGGUUUUGUAUUUAUAUAUACACAUAUAUUACGUUGUUUCCUGACCUGAGUUUUCACUAUGUUAAUAGCAAAAUUUCAUUUCUUUUUCUUUUUUCUCUUUAAUCCCGGUAUCUUCUUUAAUAACUUGAUUACUUGAGUACACUGUACCAUUGAAAUCAUGGUUCAUGCCAUAGUUCCCUUAGAGGAAGGUCCAAACCCGGCUUAGGAGAAAUGGAGGUUUGGGCUGUCGAGGGCCUUGGUGUUGCUAUGUUCCCAAGAGAUGUUUACUUGGGCUGUCGAGCGCGCCGAGAAGUGCUUAAUAUUACAUCAAUGGGCCGGGCUUGUAACCGACUACUACACAUUCCCAUGGCGGCAAUCCUGAUCAGUAAUUAACUUGGGAUUUUGCAUUCAAUGAUUGCCACAAUAAUAUCAGCAAACUUUUCAGAAGAACCUUAAUUGAUAAUUGUCAUUUUGCAAUCAUAGGUUAGUUGAUGGAUAUACCAUGGGCCCUGAAAAUUAAUUAAAAUAUCAAACAUUGUAUGCUCCUAGGUUGGAAAUUUUUCAAAAUUUUCAAUAGAAAAAUAACCUCAAAAUCAAUAUUUUACAUGUGAAGAUCUGUUUCAUUAACAAGCGCGAUGGGCCAAACGGAGGGAGCCAGGAAUUUUAAGCUGUUCAUAUUUGACGCCCUAAUUUGGGAUUUGCUAAUACGGAAAAACUUUGAGCUGCUCACUAAUUUAUAUCUUGACUUCGAGAAUCUGCGCAAUUACUAAUUAGUAGCCAUCAAUAAUUGUCAAAAAUCAAUUUUGAAUUUCGAUAUUUUUGAAUGCAUUGGUGUUACGUGUUUCUCCAUACGCGUUAGUAAAUUUGAGAUGGUGUAAAUUUGUAAUAAACUAAUAAUAUCUUCUUUUUUUUAUAAUUUGAAAAUCAACCCAAUCUGAUUCUCUAAAUUAACAAGAUCAAAUUGACUAUCCAAUGUUCAUUCACUAGGAAAGUCCUAAAGGUCCCUCUAAACUAGAAAGUUACUCAAAUCUAUGGCCAAAAUAAAGUCUUCUUAUAAUUAAAGAAACAACCCAUCUUUUUUUAAGAUCUUCUGACAAUGAAUUUUCAAUUAUGAUGGGGUUUGAAGUUUUGAAAUUUUCUAAGAAUUAUUAACAACUGAAAAGAGAAAGCAAAAGAAAAAGGACGAUGUGAUAUGGCAUGGGACAUGGACUUCCCACCACCUUUACAUUGCCAUCAUGCAAAAAAAAAGCUCUCAAUUUUAUGCUUAGCUUGUUCUUGUUUUCUUUCUUUUAUCACUUCUUUAUUACGUGGGUCUUGAAUUCUCAAUAGUUUCUAAUUGUUAAAAAACUCCAUGAAAAUUGCUUUCCCUAUUGUAAUACCUCCAUUAAGGAGAAUGAAGGGUUAAAAAUGUACCGACAGAUACUGGAAAAUUAUUGAAUGAAGUAAUCAACAUGAUUGUUCACUGACAAUAUUAUAUUCGGAAUAAUGAUAGCUGGUUGUUUUGGAUUGUUUUAGAUGUUGUAUUAGCCAAUUAGGCAUAUUGGUAUAUAUUAUUAUUAUAUGAAAUACUAUUGCCUUUUUUAUUAGCAAAAGACUUUCGGUUAAGAUUUUGCUUAAUUACACGAUUGCAUCGUGAUUGUUUUUAAGCUUCAUCAUUCAAUUCCAAAACUUAACGUAACAAAAGAUCUUACUAACAAUACUAUUUUAAUACCCAUUUUUUUCCCAGUCACGUGAGUGUAUAUGAUCUCCAUAUCUUUGGUACUAUAUCUAAAAAAUUUUUCCAAUCAAAUUAAUUAACACCCGCAGCUACAUUUAAGCAAAUUGUUCUAAGCCGCUAGGGUUUAAUCUAGUAGUUAAAACACAACCCUUACAAUUGUGAGAUUAUGCGUUCGAACCCUCACAACAAUACAUUGUGGGGGUUUAAUUUUCUUCUCUAAUUUGAGUGAAAGCAGUCUCAUAAAAAUAUGGAUUGUGCUUGUCCCAAAAUUAUUUAAUUAUAAAUAUCAGUAUACUAAUCUCAUAAAAUAUAAGUAAAUACGAGUUGGAAUAUGAUCAAUAAUGUCAUAUAAUUUUUUUUAUUUAAAAAAAAAAAAGCAAAGUGCUAUGCAAUCCACUUGAUAUUACGACAAUAACUGGCACACUAAUGAACAACUAGUAAAUUCAUUUUAAAAGAAAUAACACCCCAAAUCAUUAAUAUUUAAAAAGAAUCAUUUGAAAAAAUCUUAAAAAGUGUUCGGCAAUCCACUUGUCAUUGUAACAAUCACUCACACGCCACUGAUCAACUUUAGUUUCAUUCAGUAUGCCGAGAAAUAGAAUUUAAAAAUAACAACACCUCAAAAUCAUACAUAUUUGAGAAGAAUCACAUGAAAAUUGAGCAGGUCAAAUAGUUGUGUAUAGAACAAAUUUUUUCAUGAGACAGGCUGGAUAGCAAGAAAUGGAAGCCAACUGUGAGUUUCGGUCUUUCAUAGAAUUUGGCCUAACGUUGUCACAUUCACUAUUCACGUACCCAUAUUAUCAUCAUCCCAGUGGGCACUGGCACUGCUGAGUGCUGACCCAAUAGAACAAAAUAAUAAUAAUAAUAAUAAUUCCCACUUGCUCAAUAUUUUAUUCUUUUCAUUUUAAUUGUCAUUUUCCCAAGUAAAUAAAAACCUUUUAUGCAAUUAAUUCUGCUUGUCGGGUGGAUGAGGUGGUUCAUCACGUUCAAAUGUUCAAUCAAUGACAAUUUUAUCGCAAAUUCCAUUGCUUAUAAUUGUUGUAACCAAACAAAUCCCUGGUGCCUGCACUAACACCUUAGCUUCAUUUUCAAUUAAGGCGGUUUUCAACAACUUAUUAACUUUAUUUUUAAAGAAAAAGAAAUCCCAAGUGUUUUUCUCACUAAUUGAUUGCUUAAAAAUACUUAAGAAAAUUACCCACAAAUAAAUUAACGAUAAACAUUUAGUACUAGCUUAUGAUUUUUUUGGGGGGGGGGGGGUUUCUAAUAAAAUUUGGAUUAUUUGGGUUUUAUAUUUGAGAAAAGUUAAGUUACGACGAUCGAUAAUUAUAUACCCUUAAAUAAUUAUUAUCUAAUUUGGAUAUUUUUAUAUCUUAAUGAGUUCGUGUUGAUUUGCCAAUCUUACAAGUCUUUAUUUUACAAAAUAUAGAUAUUUAGAUUGAAAAAAACAUAUAUAUAUAUGUAUGACAGUAUGAGUAGUGUAUAUGUUACAAGAUAUUUUAAAAUUUAAUACUUUAGUUGAGAAAUGCCAUCACCCUCAACUACUCGGUUACAAGAAUAUUAUUGCGUUAUUUAAUAUUCUGUUAUCGAUUGCUUUAUUAGGAAGAAAUAAUGAAAAAUGGGACAUCCAUUGCUAAAGUACAACACAACAUUGUUGACAAGUGAGUCCCCCUUGAAGUGACAACUAUUUUUUUUCUUCCUUAAUAAAGGACGAGCUAUGUGUAUGUGGUUUUGCCGUGCAACCCAAGUUUCAAUGUCUGUAUCAUUUAUAGGGGGAAACCUUAGGUGCAACCCACACACGCCACUCGGCUUUUGGCAGCCUGGUUGAGAGGGCAGCAGUUAUUUUUGUGGGGGCUAAAACAUUCAUUCUUUUUUUCUUUUGUAAUUUUUCAUCUGUGAGGAUUAUUUGUCAAUAUAGAAAUUUGAUACUGUAAUCAAUAUUAAAAAAAAAAAAAAAAGUACCCACACAUACACACAUAUAUCUAAGAAAAUAAAUGAUGAAUACUAUGUAAGAGAAAAUUUGGUAGUUACAGGGUGAACACUUUCUUAUCAAAAUAAUAAUAAUAUAAUAAAUUAGAGACCCUCCUGAAUAUUUCCAACAUGCUUCUCAAAUUGCAUGAGUGUUGGAUUCAUCAACUUAUUAUUAUUAUUAUUAUUAUUAUUAUUAUUAUUUUAUCAUCAAUUGAUGUGCAAAAGGGUGAUGUUAUCAGUUAUCACGGCCUCCUGAGAAAAAAAAAAACUUUAAAUUCAACGUGAAAUGAAAAAUGUAAGGAAUCAAAUCGAAUUGUCAAAAUGAAAUGAGAGGCGAACAAUUUAACUGUUCAGAAAAGAAGCAAAGGCGCCAAAAGCAACGGACGGAACAUAAAAGUGGGUCCCACGUUUCAAAGGGACAAAACCAGAGAAAGCCAAAGCCCACCCCGCAACGAAAGUGAUGCCAAAGCUUACAAUUUGUAUUACCUUAAAAAUUCUGUUCGGUUCAUUUAAAUUUUAUUAUAAAAUCAUUUUCAAAAUUCCAAAUUUUAUAACCAAAAAAUUCGCUGCAUGCAGCGAGAAAGCAGCAAGUGAAGAAUAAAGGGUUCCCCCCGUCAGCAAGAAUCUUUUCUUUUUUUUUUUCGCUUUUUUUUUUCCCUUUGUUUUUUAAGAAAGCAAAAAUUAAGAGAGCAUUAGUUUUGCUGUCAUGAUAAGUAUGGUGUUCAAGAGAGUGUCGGCUAGUGGGAAGUGUUUUGUCAUUCAGUCAUUGUGUUUGCAAUUUUCUUAUGAACCCGUGUCAAUAAAAUGUCUUGGCUUGUGAACAGAAACUGAAAUUGAGCUUCUUUGUGUGUCAGUGAGAUUUACAGUGUCUGUGCAUUGAAUGUAUGGUUGCUAAAUUUUUGCUUUUUUCUUCUUCUUCUUUUCUUUUUUCCCCCCGAAGUGGAUAGUCAAGAAAUAUGAAGAGAUUAUGACUUGAGAUUUUUUUUUAUUUUAUUUGAAGUGAUGAUCUGAAUUAACUGGGCUUUGGUUUCUAUGGUAGAAGUUUUGUUCUAUUUUGUGAGGGGAUUUCUUCAUGAGUUAGGCAAGGAAUUAAUUCGUUUUGAAGUUAGAAUUUAUGUGUUCAAAGUUAGUUUCAAGUGACCUUUCUAAAGUCUUUAAGGUAUAUUGUUGGAAAUUAGCUGGCUUUUUUGUUCAAUCAGUCUCUCAAGAGGUAAGCUCCUUAUGAUCCUUUAGAAGUUUUUAGUUAUGAUAAUGUCGAUUGAUAAAUUAUCUGUAAUUUGUAUAAUAUUUGCAGAGUUUCUGUUGAUCUUGGGAGCUGGCGCUUCUGUAAUUGAGAAGCUAGAGGCAUCACUCUGUUAUCCCAGCGGAUUUUUAAAAGCUCUAGAAUCCCUUUGUGAUUUUCUCUAGUGUUCCUUUUUGUAUGCAUUGAUGGCAAGAGCAUCCAGAUUCAGUCAGUGUGCACUUCUGGUGCUUGCUUACAUUUUGCUUCAGGUCAAUCAUUCGGAGCAACUGCAGUCUUCUCAGGCUCAGACCCUUUUGAGGAUUCAAGGGCUUUUAAACAAUCCAACUGUUUUAAGCAGCUGGAAUAUCACCACUGAGUUCUGCAAUACAGAACCAACCUCGUCUUUAACUGUAGUAUGCUACGAAGAGAGCAUAACCCAGCUGCAUAUAGUCGGCAACAAGAGAGCUCCUACGUUGCCUCUAAGCUUUUCCAUGGAUUCCUUUGUGACGACUCUUGUUAAGCUUCCGGACUUGAAAGUCCUCAGGCUGGUUUCUCUAGGUCUAUGGGGUCCCUUGUCUGGUAAAAUUUCACGUUUAUCGUCACUGGAAAUACUUAAUAUGAGCUCAAAUUUCCUGAAUGGUUCUGUACCUCAGGAGCUUUCAAUUUUAACUAGCCUUCAAACACUCAUACUUGAUGAAAACAUGCUUGCUGGUCGGGUUCCAGAUUGGUUGGGUUCAUUACCGAUUUUGGCUGUUUUGAGCUUGAGGAAUAAUAUGUUCAAUGGGACUUUGCCUGAUUCGUUUAGUUACUUGGAGAAUCUUAGAGUUCUUGCGCUUUCAAACAAUCACUUUUACGGAGAAGUUCCUGACUUCAGUGGUUUGACUUACCUUCAAGUACUUGACUUGGAAAAUAAUGCUUUGGGACCUCAGUUUCCUAAAGUUGGCAAAAAGUUGGUUACAAUGAUACUGAGCAAAAACAAGUUCAGGUCUGCCAUUCCUGCUGAAGUGAGUUCCUAUUAUCAGCUUCAGCGGCUAGAUCUCUCAUCUAAUAGAUUUGUUGGACCAUUCCCUCAAGCACUUUUAUCCUUACCUUCUAUUACUUAUUUGAAUAUUGCUGAUAACAAACUCACGGGGAAGCUUUUCGAUGAUCUUUCUUGCAAUCCCGAACUUGGAUUUGUGGACUUGUCAUCAAAUCUGCUGACUGGACAGUUGCCGGAUUGUCUACUUGCAGGUUCUAAAAACAGGGUUGUCCUGUAUGCUAGAAAUUGUCUAGCAGCUGGAAAUGAAAAUCAACACCCGCUUUCCUUUUGUCAGAAUGAGGCUUUGGCAGUGGGAAUUUUACCUCUGCAAAAGAAGCAGAAACAAGUUUCCAAAGCAGUUCUUGCGUUGAGUAUAAUAGGAGGAAUUAUUGGGGGAAUCUCACUUUUUGUGAUUGCUUUCUUGCUUGUUAGGAGAACUAAGUCCAAGCAAACAAUGAAGAAGACUCCAACAAGAGUAAUUCAAGAAAAUGCUUCAACUGGGUACACCUCGAAGUUCCUCUCAGAUGCAAGUAAGGCUUCAUCUCCCCUUAAUCCCCCUGCCAAGUAAUUCCCAUUCUGUGUUUCUGUUGAAAUCAAGCAUGAAUCUGGGCACACCUCAAAGCUGCUACUGGAGUCAUGCAUUGUGCAAGCUUUAAUGUAUUUAUGCAUGUGUCCACACACAAUGUAGUGUUGCAUUUUUAGGACAUAGGACCGUAAGUUUUAAUUGAAAGGUUGUCUUUGAAUACUCUAUUUUGAUCAUCCAACUUGAAGCCCUCACAUAGAAAUUAUUGACCAGUCAGUUGCAAGAAAUCGAGUGAUGAUUGUGUUCUUGUCUUAAAGCCAGUUAAUAAUAUUCUUGAACUGUUAAAUUGUUGUCCAAGUUUUAAGCUAUAUUAAAAUUGACCAUAUGAUCGUUUGUGCCCCCUGAAGGGUAUAUUUCUCAAACAAUGAAGUUGGGAGCACUUGGUCUUCCAGCUUAUCGAACCUUUUCCUUGGAAGAGCUUGAGGAAGCUACAAACAACUUCGACACCUCUGCUUUCAUGGGUGAAGGUUCUAAAGGGCAGGUAUGCUACUCUGGUACAAUAUAUAUAUGAUGCCUACUUUCAUGUCGCAAUGAUGCACAGUAUGACAGUUCUGACAAUUUGUAUUUUCCCUUUGCGUGAUCCGUUCAAAGAACGGAAAAGGAAAAGUUGGUCCAGCAUUUCUCUACACCUCACAUAUUUCAUGCUUGCAGAUGUACAGGGGUCGCCUGAAGAAUGGUACCUUCAUUGCCAUUAGGUGCCUUAAAAUGAAAAAAAGCCACAGCACUCGAAACUUCAUGCACCAUAUAGAGCUGAUAUCAAAACUCAGACAUUGUCAUUUAGUCAGUGCUCUUGGACACUGCUUUGAAUGCUACUUUGAUGAUUCAAGUGUUAGCAGAAUAUUUCUCAUCUUCGAAUACGUUCCAAACGGCACACUAAGGAGCUGGAUAUCUGGUAAUUCAUGAAAAUCUUUAAUUCGUUUCUCAGGGUGGAGGAUAUAAAGUAAUUAAAGCCACUCUUUUGUACUCCUCUGCUCUAUAAGCCGGCUUUAUGGGGUCUUCAAAAGUAGCUGUGAAUUUUUUAACCUUGAUCCUGCGUGUAGUCAUUGAAUAAAGUAAUCAAUCAGUCUAGAUAGUUCAGUUUCCUGCAAGUAAUUAAUUUACUUAAAGAGAAUAAUUCGUGGUUUUUAAAAUAUAUUGUUCAAAGUCAUCAAGAAAAGACCGAAUCGGAAUCAUGUUCCAUAGUAAUCACAAGAAAUUACUAUUUUAUGUCCUCCAUCCUGACUUGUUGUUAUAUCCAGUUAAUCAAAUUAUGCCUUUAUGUUCUGGCUGGUUUCAAAGUCUUAGAUACUUUUAUGCAGAAGGGCAUGCCUGGCAAUCACUUACUUGGACACAACGUAUAUCAGCUGCAAUAGGGGUGGCAAGGGGCAUACAAUUUUUACAUACAGGGAUUGUGCCUGGUGUAUUUUCAAAUAAUUUGAAAAUAACAGACAUUCUACUAGAUCAGAACCUUGUUGCAAAAAUUAGCAGUUAUAACCUGCCUUUAUUAGCAGAAAAUGCCGAGAAGGUAAAAAGGAGAGAAUCUUCCUUUUCAUCAUUCUGUCCAUCUUUUCCAGUGCCAUGCACUUUUCAGUUGAUUUGUAGCUUGCUUCAUCUGUGCAGGUUGGUCAUGUAACCCCUUAUUCUGGAUCCAUAAAUCCUACAAAUAGUGCAAGGUAGGUAAUUGCUUCAAUAGUCUGACAAAUGUUGUUGCAGUUCAUUAGAAAUAUUAAAAAAUAGGGAUAUUAUCAUUUUUCCACCAAAGGUAUUCUGACACAUCAUGUCAGUACCACGGUUUAGUAAAACUAUCAAUUUACCACCAAACAUUUAAACUGUUAGCAUUUUCUCACCAUUCCGUUAAAACUCAGUUAAUAUGUAAUGAAAAUUUUCUAAAAGGUCAAUUUUACCCCUGGAGCAUAAAAGACCAUGUAAUUAACUUUUUAUGAAUUUUGUAAUUAAAUCAUCAUUUAUUGUUCUUCCUUCUUAAAGGACAAAAAUUACCCUUUAUGAAUUUUGUAAAAUUGACCGUGUGGUGUUAGGUAAUUCAUAAAUUGAUUUAAUUUAUUUAAUUUUUAAAGGGCAAAUUUAUUUAUUUAAUUUUUUGUGUAAAAUUAUUAUCAUCAUAUCAAAGAUUAAAUUGCUUCUUUUGCACUUUUUUUUUUUUUUGCCCUUUCAUAAAUUGAGUUUUAGUAGUAUAAUAAAUUGUCUUUAGCUCGUCAAUUUAAUAAAUAAAUUUGCCCUUUAAAAAUUAAAUCAAUUUAUGAAGUACCUAGCACCACACGGUCAAUUUUACAAAAUUUAUAAAGGGUAAUUUUUGUCCUUUAAGAAGGAAGAACAACAAAUGAUGAUUUAAUUAUAAAAUUCAUAAAAGGUUAAUUACAUAGUCUUUUACGCUCCAGGGUAAAAUUGACAUUUUAUAAAUUUUCUGUUACAUAUUAAUUGAGUUUUAACGGAAUGGUGGGAAAAUGCUAACAGUUUAAACGUUUGAUGGUAAAUUGAUAGUUUUACCAAACCAUGGUACUGACAUGAUGUGUCAGAAUACCUUUAGUGGGAAAAUGAUAAUAUCCCUAAAAAAUAAAAGGAAAAACUAAAAAGGAAGCCUUAACGGGCAACUAAAAUUGCUAAAAAGAAUAUGUUGGGUAUAAACGUAUAAGAUCAUGCACUAAUAAAUCAUGCUGCAUGAAUAUCUACUGCUAUGAGAAAAUAAGUGAUGACAAUCUUCAAAUUUCCUCUAGUUUCUGCUCUUAGAAUUUUCUAGUCAUACAAUUCUACCAAAACAAAUUCAUUCUGAUUUAAAUUGAUGUAAGAACUGUUCUCUCUACACUCUCUUAUUUGGCAGGGGGAAACUUGAAGAUAAGAUUGACAUUUAUGACUUUGGAUUAAUUUUACUAGAAAUUAUUGUUGGGAGGCCAUUAAAAUCCAGGAAAGAAGUGGAUCUUCUGAAAAAUCAGGUAAUGGUUCUGCUUGUUUACAUUACUUUCUUUCAAAAAUCUUUCAUAUCCAUUCUUCUUUCUCAGUCAUCAUGUGAAGAGUUCAGAAUGCCGUGGAAAUUUGAUCACUCUUUGGUGCACAGCUAACACAGUAACACCCUAGGAUUUGUGUUCUAAAAUUGCAUCUACUCGGGCUCUUCUAGAUUUAUGCCAACUCUACUGCUAAAACUUGAAUGUUUCUCUUCUUUGCAUCCUUAAUCUGGUGGCUUACAACUAUGUCAUGUUAACAUAGACCGAAACCUCUUCAUGAUUACUAGCUGGUUACUCAUGACAGCAUACCUUUGACUUUCUGUAGUUACAAGCUGUCAUUACUGCUGAUGAAUCAGCACGACGGAGCAUGGUUGAUCCAGCAGUUAACAAGGCAUGUUUGGAUGAGUCACUGAAGACAAUGAUGGAAGUCUGUGUCAGGUGUCUGCUUAAGAACCCAGCAGAGAGACCUUCAGUUGAGGACGUGCUAUGGAAUUUGCAGUUUGCUGCUCAAGUUCAGGAUGCAUGGCAUUCUCAGAGCAGUGAAGGGUCUCCAAUCUCACCUCCAUGGCCAUCACACCAACACCUUUCCUUUCAUUAGUUGCAACAUUCAGGUCCUUACACUGCUAAAUAUAAACCUGUUAACAAAUCUUUUGAUAUAAAUACACAUCUUAUUUCCUACAAACUCUCCAGUAAAUGUUGAGUUUCUGGUCUUCGAUCUUCGCUUUACAUUGUGCCUACUGAUUUGAAACAAAAAAUUUGAAAUGCAGGACAUGCUGUACGUGGCUUGAUGACAAUUGUGCCUGAACAUUUUCUAUCACUCCUACCUCUUUCCUUCCAUGUAAUUUUUGCGACAAACAACUCUAAAGUUACAGUUGAAGAUGACAUUUUUCAGAGAGACCAAAAGCUAGCUGUCUCUUGUUAUGCUAAACAUCUUGUUUCCAGUUCUCCAUGGUUGGAUCCUAGCACAUAUCCUGGAUUAUAGAUCAAUGGUUGCAGGUCCCGUAUCCCAGUCAAAUCAUCUAUGCAUUUGUUUAAUAUUUUUCCACAAUGAUGAUCAAAGGGGAUAUGUUGUCUGCGUCCAUUACUCUUUCUUUACUAUUGUAAGGUGCAGCUAAAAGUAAUGAUGUACAAGCUUUUUCUAUGUUAUUGUAUACACAUAUCUAAGCCCAAUGUUUUGGCAGGAGAUGGUUGUUCACUUUCGAACGUUUUGCUUCUUUCUGGGAUCCGGGUUGAAUCUCAAAUUUUUACAAUUUACAACCUCAAAAUCGUUUAGCCGUAGGUGUGGCCUGUCAAAAUUCAAGUUUCAAGAUCAGUCUCUAUUUGAAUAACAUUCAGUAAAACCCUACAGGUUUAGUAAGAUAUCGUCAACCUAACGGAAUUCAGAGAUCCAUCUUCAGCCAUUAAUAUUCCAUCCAACUUACAAUGCAAUGAGCGUAUCAGAUAUUGCCAGAACAAGAAGUCUCCAUUCACUAAUUAGAUUAAGACAGGAUUUUAUCCCAAGUCUUAAUCGCAUCUGUUCAAUUUUUCUAUGCAAUCGCUUUCCUAGCUCAUGGCCCCCAUAAUUCGUGGUCCUCUAUGUCAGUUGUCAUCCUCUUGAUCACCUUUAUAUUUCAUUUUUCCUCUUCAAAUAAUAAUGUUUCGAGGUUUCAUGUCCAUGGAUGUCGACAUGCUCAAGCUCGAGGAAACUCCAAAAGGGAGGUAAAAGGAAAAUGAGGUUGUAAUGGAGAAAGGGAAUUUGGUGAAAAAAUAAUCACCAUAAAACACAAUGCAAAAUAAGAGUUACUAAAAGACGGCCAUUCACAACAUUCAAAAAUCCCACAAAAUAAUUCCAGUGAGUAAGAGCUCCUCUGUUUUCCUCUUUUGAGAGUUGAAGAUUGUCUUUAAGACAUCAUUGUACUCCUAUACAAAUGCUACAAAUAAAUUACAGUUAGAUGAAAAAUGUUUCAAAAGUAUAAUUUAAAAAAAAAAUUGAGAAAUUAGCAAGAGGUUCAACCAGAGCUGUCUACAAAUCAUCCAAAGAAAUCCUCUAACUCUGAUAACAAUGCACCUGAAAUCACAUUUAUGAAGGACACCACUAUUGGACAAAUCCAGGGAACAUCGUCACUUCAGAACCAGAGUGCUUUUAUUAGGCUUUUAGUCUGCUGUCCAGCUCUGCUCCACUAUUUCCCGCACUCUUCGGUUGUACUCUCUCUUAUUCUCACUGAACAGCCGAGCUGCUUCAGAGUUUGCAGGAGAGUUUGGAUUUGGAUCACAAAGCAGAGACUGAUAAAGACAUAAGUAGCAUCGGGUUAGCAUCAUCUUGUACAUCCACUGACAACCCCCCAAGCUCAUUUAUUUUAGGAUCAACCAUAACUCACAUGAAAUCUCAUGCAAAAACCAAAUUGUCAAGUGCAAACAUAGCAUAUUUGAAAGCUAUAUUAUUAACCAAUUAUUUUAAAGAACACAUUAUAACCAAACUAUAAAUGUUUGAAAUAUUGAUGAAGAAGCUGAUGCAAGAUUCCAUCAUGUUGUGAGUGAGUGAGUGAGUCAGGGGGGGGGAGGGGAAGAAAAGUCAGUCACAACCUGGUAACAAGGAUAAUUUCAGUUUGAAUAAGCAUGUAUUCUGAUUACCAGCUACCAUCAACAAAGAUCAAAAAGAUAAAAGAAAAUGCCAAAAUCAUAACAAAUACUCCACAAUGCCAUCAUUGUUAUGAGAAAGACAAAUUUGAAAACUUUUCAUUUGCAUUUUAAGUCAAAAGACAAAUUUGAAAACUUUCCAUUGCAUUUUAAGUCAAGUUAAAUAUGGUAAGUACAAUAUCAUGUCUUCUCCCACCAAAAACAAAAAAAAAAAAAAGACAAUAUCAUGUCUUCUCCCACCAAAAACAUAUGGUAAGUACAAUAUCAUGUCUUCUCCCACCAAAAACAAAAAAAAAAAAAAGAUUCCAGAUUAAGAGUGCCAACAGUAAUACUACCUGGGAUACUUGUCAUUGUACGAUUUUGACCCCAUGCACAUGAGUUUAGGAAUGAGCAUGAAAUUUUACAGGUUCGUCUAUGUACAGUAAAAAGUGCUCUAUAUCACAGUUUUAUGUUAGCUUUCGCGUGGAUUAAAAAUUAGAUAACUAGAAUUCCAGCCUUGUUUUGUCUAGUCCAUAGAAACACUUGAAAACAGCCGCAUGUUUGAUACUAAAUCUCAAAAAUCAGUUUGUUUACAGCAUUUUUCAGAUGAGACAACUGACUAUAGAUUCCUCAAAUUUCUUUAAUGGAAAAUACUUAAAAUCAUUCAUAUCAAUGCAUCAAACAGUAAUAUUUAUGUGUCGUAUUUCAGACCAUAAACUUAAACAUCAAAUAAUAAAGUGACCAGGUCAUAAAAUCACAGAUAAAAGAGAAGCAAGAUAUGUUGGGAAGAAAACAAAAGAGAAACACCGUGCAAUUAGUCUUUCUUAUGCACAUAAAAGAUACAAAGGAACACAGUAGGCAAACCAAAUAAUAUGAAGUCAUCAUUUGAUGAAACAGGGACUUUGGUCUAUGCAAACCAGCAGAUUUUCUAUUUCGAAGAUUGUCUUAAAACAUGGAAGAUUCACAUUUAUGUUCAGUUAAUAUAUGAAAACAUAUAUAAUGAUGCAAAAAAAAUGCCUUCACAGUGCAGGCUUGUUGACCUCAUAAGCACUUGGAAUUGCGUCAGGGUAAGACAAUCUGAAAAGCUUUUAGCCACUAAUAUCAUGGGUGUGAUUCAGUUGCCAAUUCAAACUAUCUCCACAUUUCAAUUAAGUAGAAGGACUUAUAAAAAGAAGAAAGGGGGAAACAGGAAACAUAACAAAAAUACGGAAAAGGGGGAAACAGGAAACAUUUAACAGGGGAAACCUUAAAAAAUGUGUUAGUCAUAUUGUCUAUUCUCUUUUCUUUUUCCCCCUUCAAAGCAAAAAAGCAAUUUUCUUUCAAUAACCAACAUUAAUUAUAAGAAAUUACGCAGGCAGAAAACAUCCAAUAUCAAUCAAUGAUUAACAAGAAAUAGAAUCCUUUUCCCACAAUCAAGAAAAAUGAAAGAAAAGUCAAACAAAUUUGCACCUGAAUAGAGGUCAGUAUAGCUGCAACAUCAUAUAUAGGACUCCACUGAUUUUGUAAAAUAUCCAAACAAAUACUUCCAUCUGCAUAGACUGAACAAACCAUAGGCACAAGUCAGAAAUCAGAGUCAAUCAUUACGAAGACCAUGUGCAAUAUAAUAACAAGCAACAUAUCAUUUAUCACCAAAAUUCAAAGAGAACAAUAACAAGAAAAAUAUAAUUAAUAAAUAAAUAGAAAAAUAAUUUACAAAUAACAUACUAUUUGGAUGAAACAUCCGUGAGACGAAACGAACUGUUGGGGGUUUAUUUGGAUAAUCCUCUGUGAAUUGUAGAGUCAACUUGAACGUACCUGAAGAAAUUCAAGAAAAUGCUUAGAUGACAAAUGCAAAAACCUAAAUAUUUCAACUGUAAAGACAAAGGAUAAGGCAUAAGCAAUCAUUUUUGUUAAGUAGGAGUAUUUAGGCCUCAAAUGCGACUGAAAGCAAGGAUAGCACGAUAUAGAAACAGAGGUAUAAUUAUUUACUAAAGCAGAUUGUCCACCAUCAUGCAGCAAUCGAUCUAAAGCCACUUCGGCAAUUAAAAUUCCAUCAAAAACACCAUUUACAUAAUUGGAACGUGAAAGCAUCGUUUACAAGAUAGCUCAUUCUGCUCAUAUUGACAGUCCUUCUGAUCAAAGAUGAUGACAAAAAAAAAAGAAAAAAAAAAGAAAAAAAAAAGAGGUGAUCGAAUUUUCUCAACAUCAAACCGGAAAAAAAAAAAAAAAAAACCACUAACACAAACAUGGACAAGGUAAUUAAAUUGUAACAAUAUAUACAAGUUAUGACCCACAACAGCAAAUACAACACAAGCCAAGAACCAUAGGAAUUCAACCAUGUUCUAUACACAGAAUCAGCUUAGUUACAGGCAAAAUAAAAAAGUCAGCUCAUCAAAGCUUUCGCUUAAUUAUACAUUAAAACUAAUGAACGAAACCUAACAAGCAAAAGCUGAGUGAAAAAUGAAAUCAAAAGCAUAAAAUUAUUUCUAUAAAGUAAAAAGACAAUAAAAUUCCCACCUCCGUCCCAGGGAGUAUCAUCGGGCCUGCAAAACACCACGAAAAAGGAAAAAAAAAUCAAAACAAAAACCAAAAGAAGUACAAAAAAGAAGAAAAGGAAGAAAAGAAAGUGUACCCAAAAAUAACGGCGUUCCACAACAUGAUGUUGUUGUCUUGAGGGGCACCGCUGAUGCCGGCGGGUGGAUCUUGCUGGAGGCGCUUGAAGUCCCGCAUCAGCCGCUUCUUCGCCGGUGUUGACAUGGCGACGUCGUGUUCUACAGAGAGAGAACGAGAGAGGAAAGUUCUAGAGAAAAGAGGGAUCUGAGCAAAAAUCUAAUCUAAAGAAGACUUUGUUGCUGCAUACGAGUUGCCAUGACAUAGCAAUAGGCCCAGGCAAUAGGCAUAACCUGUGCAACACCGCCAGCUAGUUUUGGUUUGUGAAUUGUGAUUGUGAUUUGUGAGUCCCACGCACACACUCUAGUCACAGCCGCCUUCUACUUUUUAUUUAUUACGCGUCGUGGGAUCUGAGCUGUUCAAACUUCAAAUUGUUUUAUGUCAUUUACCGCAAGGGCCACGUAAUUUUGUUAUGUAUUUCGAAAGAAAUUAACCGCCGCCACCACCACCAAAUUACUUUAUUUUUUAAGAAUCAUCCAUUUUACCAGUAAUUGUUUGUAAUGCUGAAAUAUCUUGCAUGGGAGUGGAGAGGAUAAAGUAUCUGAAACUCUUCAAUUUAAUUUAAUCCGAAUUGGGGUUCGCAUCCAGUUCGGAAACUUUUCUCACCCUUCACUGGCCCCAACGUUCAGAUUCUUAUGCUACUAAAUUUUAAUUCUAUAAUAUUAUCCCUCUCCUCUCGACGACCCAUAAAUAAAUACACACCUUAUUUUGAAAAUUUCUUUCCCAUAUUAACCCUCGAAUAAAUGCAGAAUUUUCUGGUCUUUCAUUUUGGCUUGACAUCAUCUAUAAUGGUCUGAUGGGGGCAGUUACAGUACAUGCAUGUAUCUCAUACAUGCAUGCAUAAAAAAUUAUCGUUAGAUUAAAUGGAGUAGAUCCAAUGGUUGAGAUUCAUCUUAGUGUUAAAUAAUAAAAAAAUUUACAAGAAAUGAAAACAUGUAAAACUGGCAACUUGAAACUUUGAACUAAUAAAUAUGAAACAACUACCAUUAAUAUUGAUAUUAUAACCAUUAAACUUGAAACCAAAAUAACUUGAAACUUUAGACAACGAAUAUGAAACUUGUGAUCAUAAACUUGCAAUCUCAAGAAUCAUACAAAUCAUGUACCAAUAAUAUAUGAAACAACUACGAUUAAUCUUGAUAUUAUGACCAUUAAACUUAAAAAUAAAGUAACUUGAAACAUAGGGUAAUGAACAUAAAACUUGAGAUCCUAAAAAUCAUACACAUCAUGAACCAAUAAAUAUAAAACAACUACCAUUAAUAUUGAUAUUAGGAUCAUUAAACUUGAAACUAAAGUAACUUGAAGCUGAGAGCAAUGAACAUGAAAUUUGGGAUCAUUAACUUACAACCCUGAAAAUCAUGCAAUUAAUAGACCAAUAAACAUGAAACACCUACCGUUAACUUGAUAUUGUGACCAUUAAACUUGAAACCACAAAGAAUUUGAAACUGAGGGCAAUACACAUGAAACUCAAGAUCAUAAACUUGCAACCCUGAAAAUCAUGUAAUUAAUGAGUCAAUAAACAUGAAACACUAUUAUUAACUUGAUAUUAGAACCAUUAAAUUUGAAACUAAAAAAACUUGAAACUGAGGGUAAUGAACAUUAAAUUAGGGAUCAUUAACUUGCAACACUGACAAUUAUACAAUUAAAUAGACCAAUAAAUAUGAAACAUCUAUUGUUAACUUGUUAUGGGAACCAUUAAACUUGAAAUCGAGGGUAAUAAAUAUAAAAUUUGAGAUCAUUAACAACCCUAAGAAUCAUAUAAUUAAUGAAUUAAUAAAUACAAAACACCUACCGUUAACAUGAUACCGAUAUUAUUAAACUUAAAACUAUUUUUUUAUUGUUAUCUGACCUAUAUUAGUAAAAUAAGUAUUAUUUUAUUUCAUAAUUUUUUAAUCGUUUAAGGAGCUCCAAGUUCUUUUUCUUUUUUUCCAACUGUUUGGCUGCCAAGUGGCAAUGUUUUUUAAUUUUUUUAUUCCUUGCAUGUAUGUAUGCAUGUAUUAAUUUAUUAUAGCACAGGCCUGAUUGCAAGCAAAAACACUUUAGGGUCCUACGCUCAUCCUGUUCGCUCAUAGCCUAGCAACAACCGAUUCGCGCCUCAAAACAUUUUCUAUCACUCUUCUCUUGCCCCGCCUACGUAAAUUUGGUGACAAUCAUCACCACAAGGUUAACAGUUGAAGAGGAGAGACAAAAAGCUAGCUGCCUAACUGCCAAUGCCUGUUAAGUUACGUCCUGCAUCCCAUCAAGUAUGGUCCUGUAGCCACCUCCUAACUUAAUUGCCUCCCUUCAUCCCUAUUUCAGAGAAUAUAAUUACAAGGUUUCACCUCCAGCAAUGCGGACAUUGUCAAGCUCAAGCAUAUUGAAAAACAUAGAUAAAAAAGAGGGAGGUUAUAAUACAUUCCAACAGUAAUGGAGAAAAAAGGGCUUCAACAGAAUAAGCAAUCACCAUAAAAAUACAAUGCAAGAUGGCCGUUCACAACAUCCAAAAAUCCGACUAAAUAAUUCCAAUGAAAAAGAGCUCCUCUGAGGUUGUCUUAAGACAUACAUCACUGAUUCACUGCAGCAAUAAUACCCCUAUACAAAUGCUACAGAUAAAUUACAGUUACAUGAAAGAUGUUGAAAAGAAGAAGAUGGAAAUGUUGAGAAAUUAACAAGAGGUUCAACCAGAGCUAUCUGGGAGGAAGAAUCUGAAGAGAUUCUCUAAUAACAAUGCACCUGAAAUCAGAUUGAUUACGGAGUACACGACUAUUGAACAAACCAGCCACACCAGCCCCAGUUUUCAUCUUUUAUUUCUACAGCAUAACCGGCCGGUGCUUUCAUUGGACUUUUAGUCGGCUGUCCAGCUUUGCUCCACUAUUUCACGCACUCUUCGGUUGUACUCUCGUUUAUUCUCACUAAACAGCCGAGCUGCUUCAGAAUUUGCAGGGGAGUUUGGAUUUGGAUCACAAAGCAGCGACUGGUAAAGACAUAUAAGUAGUGUCAUGUUAGAAUCAUAAAUACAACCACUGCGAAUCUCACAAGCUCAUUUGCUUCAAGAUCAACCAUCAUUUGUACUAAAUAUCAUUUGAAAACCAAGUUGGCAAGUGCAUACAUAACAUAUUUGAAAGCAAUUGACUAACCAAUUACACCAAAAAAAAUAAAGUUUUGAAAUAAUGGGGAAGAUAAUACAGGGGGCCAACAUAUGGUGACAGAAUCAAUGAAACCUGGUACUAAGGAACAUUUCAAUUUAAUGAAAACAUGUGUACUAACUAACAUCGACAUAGCAAAACAGGAUAAAAUAUCCUGAAAACCAAACAAUGCAAUCCUUGUCAUCACAAGGCAAAUAUGGAAAUGUUCCAAUGCAUUUUAGUAAGUAUUAGAUAUGGUACGUACAACAACACUUUUUUGAAAAUUGGAUAUUGAUGAUCGUCUCAAACAUGGAAGAUUCACUUUUUAACUUUGUUUAAUAUAACAAAAAAAUAUACAUAAUGAUGCAAAAAGGCCUUCACGGUACAGAAAUGUAAGCCGACAGAUGCUUUCGGACGUCAUGAGCACUAAGAUCUUAUUAGGUUCAGAUACUCUUAGAUAUAUUUAGCCAAUAAUAUCAUAUGUUUGACUUAGUUGAGUAUACCAUUCAAACUAUCUCCUCAUUUCCUUAAAAUGGGAGGAAUUACAUAUACACGAAACAAAAGGACAAAACAAGUUACCAGUCAUAUCAUUAGUAUCUUCUUUCUUUGAUGCAAAAGCACAAUUUUCUUGCAAGUUCUCGAUAAUCAGGCAUUAAUUAUAAGAAAUUAAGCACAGUGAAAACAUCCAAUUUCAAUCAAUGAUAAACAAGAAACAGAAUCUCUUUCCAAUAGACAGGAAUGAACAAGAAAAGUCAAAACGAAGUUUCACCUGGAUGGAGGUCAGUAUAGCUGCAACAUCAUAUAUAGGACUCCACUGAUUUUGUAAUAUAUCCAGGCAGAUACUUCCAUCCGCAUAGACUGAUCAAACCAUAGGUAAAGAGUCAGAAAUCAAAAUCAAUCGUUAUCAAGACCAUGAGCCAUAGAAUCCCUAUAGCACAAUAAUCAGCAAAAUUCAAAGAAAGAAUAAUAGCAAGAAACUUAUCAUCAAUAAAACAUUAGCAACAAAAUUUAAAAAUAAGAUAAUGACGUACUAUUUGGAUGAAACAUCCGUGAAACGAACCGAACUGUUGGAGGUUUAUUCGGAUAAUCCUCUGUAAACUGAAGAGUCAACUUGAACGUACCUAGAAAAGUUCAAGAAAUAGCUAAAACAACACUUGCAAAAACCUAUAACUUUCAAGAAAAAGAGACGCUAUAACGAAAUAUGAUAAGUCAUAGGCAAUCAUGUUACUUAAUGGUGGUUCAGGUUUAGUGGGAGUCUUUAUUUUAAGCCUACAAUGUAAAUCAAAGCAAGUAUACCAUAACAUACAACCUAACAUAUAAUUAAUUACAGAAGCAGAUUGUCCACGAUUAGGUAACAAAAAUUCAACAAAAAUAAGCUACAAUCAAAUAUUAGGCAAAACCAAUAAUUCAGCUUAACAAAAGUUUUACAUUUUUACAGCUGAAUGAAAGUAAAAUUAAAAGCAUAAAUAUUUUGUAAAAAUCAAAGAUAAUCAAAUACCCACCUCCGUCCCAGGGAGUAUCAUCAGGCCUACGAAACAUCACCAAAUGAAAAACAAACAAGAAAAUCAAAACAUAAACCAGAAAAGUUACAAGACAAAAACAAAGGUUAAUUAAAACAAAUACCCAAAAAUAACGGCGUUCCAUAACAUGAUGUUGUUGUCUUGAGGGGCCCCGCUGAUUCCGGCGGGUGGAUCUUGCUGGAGGCGCUUGAAGUCCCGCAUCAGCCGCUUCUUCGCCGGUGUUGACAUAGUGGCGUUUUAGAGAGCAAAACUGAGAAGCGGCUUUUGCAGAGGGGGGGAGGGGGGAGAAUGAGAGAAGAAGCUUCUAGAGAAAGAAGAGAUCUGGGCAAAACCUUGUGAGGAUGCUGCAUGCGAGUUAACAUGACAAUAAUGGGCCGGGGCCGGGGUUGGCUGAGCAGUGAGCACCAAUUUUUCUUUUUUUAAUUUUAAUGUUUAACGAUAAAGUUACAAAUUUUUCCACGCAUUUUUAUUUUAUUUUAUAUUGAUAUUAAUUCAAUUCGUUUUAGUCAGUGGGCUGAGGAAAAAUAUACAUAUGGUCCCCACGCCACACACAAGUAGGACACCUAUGUAUUUAUCGAAAUUGACCUUGGCCAAAACUCCUUUCCAAAAUCGUCUUGCAUCCUUCACAUGUUCUCUCAUUGGAAAGCAUGUAGUGCAGCAAUAUGUCAAACACCAGUACACCACCCGCAAAAUUCUACAGAGAGUAUGAGUAUAUUGAGGAAUUUGAUAUUAUGGAUGCAUUUUUGUCCAUAUUUGCAAAUUCCUCAUUUUCUCAAAUGCUUAGCUCAGCACUCCUGUCAUUUAAUGAAAACCAUCAGGGACGAUAAUGAUAUUCGCAAACCCGUAAAUCCAUUCACACCAGUCCGUUGCGGGUUGUGAGCGGGUUUGAUAUUAGGAAUUGAAAUUCGCACUAUGUUGUAGGUGGAUUUAGUAUUAGGUACAUAUCCGAUGGAUACUCACAUGAAUAUCUGCCAAAUCUAUAAUUUUUUUAAUACAAUUUUAAUUAAAAAAAUAAUUAAAUCUAAAAGUAUAUAAAUAAAAUAAAUAUAGAGUGCAAACAUGUCAUGUGUGGUGUGUGCAAGUUGCAACUCAUAACCUAACCUAAAGGAAACCUAACUUAAAGGAAACCCAAACUAUUUCUUUUUCAUCUGUGAGCAGCAGUCGCAAAAUCUAACCUUCUAAACUAUUUCUCUUUCACCCAUGGGCAGUAGCCGCACACCCAUUUUCCUUUCACCCGUGAGCCGCAGCCGCACACCCAUGAAAUUUUCAUGGCAUUUGUGGUUAUUUUUUAUGGAUUUAUAUAUUUCAUACUUAAAAUCGAGAAUUUGUAUAGAAUUGAUGUUGAAAUUUUAAUUUUAUAUUUACAUUGAUUAAAUUUAAAAUUCAGUAUAUUAUGUGGAAUUUUAGCUUAAUAAUAUAAAUUUACAUAUUGAUUUUUAUUAAUAUAACCUUUCGACAGUCAAAUCAGUCACCAGACUUUUGGAAAUAUAAAUUUAGAAGGAGAAAGAUUAGAGAGAGAAAGUUAGACUUUUUACUUUUUGAGUCUAUUUUUUUUCUUACAUUUUAGUGAGAAUGAAAGACAUAUUUGUCGACCAAACGGAUUUGACUUAAGUCUUAGCUAUUUUGAUGACAAAUGUCAUUGCUCUUGUGACAUUUGACAACACUUAUUUUUUAGUACGCAUGUUGAUUGACAUAUGGAUAUACAAACUUAUCUAUAGAUUAAAGGAAAAAAACGUUUUAUCUUUAGGUUAUUUUUACUAAGACCUUGAGAUUAUAGGAGCCUUUAAAUUUAAGAGGUUUGUCCUACGAUAAGAGCCUAGAACCUCAACAUCUUUUGGGCUUUGAAGUCUUAUUACUUAGGAGAAUCAUUCUAGGUGAUUUGUCCACCACUUCGUGGGCUUAAUUGAGAGAAAAUUUAUUAAAUGGGCCUUAUUGAGAUUAAAUUUCUUUGGGCUUUAUUAAAUCUAUUUUAUUUUUGAUCCAACACCAACUUGGAUUUAAGAUUCAACACUGCCUCCUUUAGUUGGAAAGAGUUCAACUUCCCUUCUUAGUUUGUAUAAAAUGUAAAUUUCUUCAUAAUUUAUUAUAUCUAAAUUCUUCACCUUUUGGGGUCAAUUUAGCUACGCUAAUCAGAGUUGACCCCGAUAAAUUUGUAAUCUUUUUUGUUUCAUUGUAUGUUGUUGUGUGUUUAGUCCUCUAUCUAAUACAUCCGUAUCACAAUUGCUUGUACGCUAAUUUCCUACUGUGUAAUUUUUUUAUGUUAUUUCGUUAAUUUCCUCCAACAUGACUCGGGGACAGGCUGCUGCGAGUGGGACUGUGAGGUCUUGCAAUCCAAUUAAUUGGGCAUAGUGAUGGACCAGGACUGUAUAUAAAAGAACUGCUUAAAGAUCGUACAAUCUAGCAUCGGCAAGGCCAGUGCUUUCUAUGUAUUUGAUUACUAUGACUCCAUAAAAAGUAUAUAACAUGUACUGUAAAAUCACUUAAACUGUUAAUUAUUAAGAGAAAACUAAAGAAAAAUCAAGAAACCCUGAACAUAAAACGGAAGUUAAUUUGUUCUCCUGUGAUUGUGAAGUAUCUGAUGAUGAUCAUUAGUAAACAUGAUUGGAAUCUGACUCUCUUCUUCAUCAUCUUCGUCGUCGUGGGCAGGCCUUGAAAGUUCAUGAAGAGGCUCCAUGCUGUGGCAAGAUAGCACUGUCUCAGCUGCAAAGUCGAAGUUGGAAGUAAGGUUGCUCAUGUUGAUGAAGUUUGUGGAGGCCGAGGAGCUGUUUGAGUAAGCAGGCUGCUGUUGCUGUUGAUGCAGUAAUGCAACAUGUUGCGGCUGUUGCGGUUGCUGUGAUGUUUGGAGAGCGUUUGCCAUCGCAAACCUGCUGUUUAAAAGUUGAUUUUGCACCAUUGUUAGCUCUGCUUGCAGGGAGGCCACCUGCAAUUUAAUAUUUAUAAUAUCAAUUGCUUUUCUUAUUGCAGUUUUUGGUUCAAUGGGGGCUAGAAGAAUAAAUUACAGACUUUAAAGGGCUAAAAUAAAAUAAAAGAAAAUCUGUAAUGCUAAAAUGUAAAAUGUUCAAAGUAAUUGAUCAAAUUUCAAUUAACGCCCUUAUUUUUACCAGAAUUUUGUCACCUUUUAUGUGACAUUUCUCAUGAAGCGGUACGCGCAAGAAUUGGUAGUUAAUCUACUCUUAUAUAAAUAAAAUAAUAGUAAUAAUUAAUUAAUUUUUGUAACUGAAACGAGCAUUUGGCUUAGAAACAAAAUUAAUUACUAUCGGCAAAUUAAAACCUGUUGCUGCAGAGCAAGAAUGGUGGAAACACAACCGUAAACCGGGUCGGAGAGGCGGGCCUGGGCCUCGUAAGAUAUAGUAACCACAGCAUCUUGCCGCCGGUUCACCGGAAUGUGUAGCAAGAGCUUGGAUACAUUGCUAGCACCAAAGACUUUGUGCACGGCAGCGAACCGGGCGGCUCCCUGGUCUGAGCCAAAGUGGGGUGCAAAGAUGCACCCACUAACGCACUUUCUCCUCAAGAACUUGCAUGCCCCACAUGGAGCUGCUGGUGCAGGUGCUGACAUGGGCUCGGCCUCUGGCGAGGGCGCGGUGGUGGCACGUUUUCCAGCGCCCCUUCGACGGGGUUCGGAUAUGGGGUCGGGCUGUUGCUCAGCCAUUUUCUGGGGUGGGUUAGGCUCAGAGUUUGUUCAAAACGGAAAGGUGGUGGAGUUGUUACUUAUAUGUGAGAAAUUAUGACGCUGGGCACGUUAGUUUCGUGAUGGGUAGCAUGGUGAAUGUGGUAAGCUUCUUUAUCUUUUUCGUUUUUGUUUUAAAAAAAAAGAAUAUGUAUGACCAUUGCAACCCAUUUUUGUAAAUUCCAUAUAAAUGUGGAUAUACACACACACACGAAUAAUGUAAUGACCAAUAUUGCUAAUGUUAUAAUCUAUAACAUCAUCGUGUGAUGUUAAGUUGAUAAAUACUUUGUGUGAUGGUGUCAUGUAUGUUGAUAAUGCUCUAUAAGGUGAGCAAUCGUAUCAUGCCAGUGUAAUUAAAUUGAGGUAUAGGCUAAUACUAUCAUACCAUCGAUAUUUAACAGUAAUUUUGUAUGGUAUAAACUACAUAAAUGGCUAUUUAUGAAUAAAUCAAAGAACUUAUAUAUCUUCGUAUUGACGAGAUUAAAUCUUUGUGCUAUUGUCCAUGAUAUAUAUUAAUUAAUUAUAGUUUGUUUUUAUAUAUAUUUUUUUUCCUCUACAAAACGUGUAUCUAGCUAAUUAUCUUUAAAAUGUAAUUAUGAUAUCAGAAACAAGAGAGGGACAUUAUGGUUGGUGAGGGAGGGAGAGAUGGAAAUGGGAAGAGCCUGAGAGUGUGAUGGGCACGGGCAAAGGAGGUGUCGGUGGGUGGGUUAUGGGUUUAAUUAAUUAAUUAAUUACAGGUUUAAGAUGAGAAAAUUUGAAAAAUAAAAUAAUGAUGUUAAUAUUUAAGGUUAUUAGUUUGGAACAUGAAUCAUGAUACAUGAAGAAGGCUGGGUUGUCUUGAUGAGAAGGCACAAUAUUUGUGCUGCCCGUGGCGUGUGGGAUGCUUCACCUCCAACUCCAAGCUUGCUAAUGCUAACAGUAACAGAAGUUCCAGACACUUCCAGUAAUGCAUUUUGCACUCACCCUUUUUAACUUUCACUCCUCCUCGACAUCCCUACGCAACUUCACUACACAUCAUUUUUAAUUUGCAACAUUGCAUUCCAAAAUUGGGUCUCAAAGAUUAAGAAAAAUAUAUACUGGUCCAAGAAGACACAAGAUAAUUCUUCUCGUUAAACAUAUAGAGUAGGGUGAACUUGGGGUAAAUCUUGCAAUAGAUAGAUUCAAGUAUUCUCUGAAGGCAAGAUUCCAAAACAAGAAGUGCUGCCACAGUAACAUGGUAGGCCCUUUGGCCUGGCCCUAAUUUCCCCGUAGCUAAAAGCAAGCUCUUCACCUUCUUUUAUGUCUUUUGAAGCCAAGAAGCAGAGGCGAGGAAGUAUAGAUCCUGAGCUUCUCACCAGUGUUGUUGACAGGUCACCACCAUCGCAAGAAUGAUUAAUAAAUCGGGCAAUGUUUCCAAUUAUUGUGGCAUCAAUGUUCAUCCUCAAACAAGCCUUUCCAGAUGGAAGGUGCUCCCUUAUGACCAAAAGAGCAGAGGAAUUUCCGGGACUCGAUGCAAGUCCAUCAUAGAUUUGUUGCCGCCGCCUUGCUUCUUUUGUGGUCAAAAGUUCACCUAUUCAAGCAAACAUCAACUAAGACAAUUUCUAACAAAUGUCCACAGAAACAAACAAUAAUUAUUUCUUAAAUAUCCAAGUAAAUGAAAAUGUUUUACACACUAGACCAAUUCAAAGCAAUCAGUUAUUACCAUAAUGUUUCAUAAACCCCGUGAUGUGGGAAGAAUGGAAAGAAAGAUCAAAAACAUCACCCAAAGUGCCCAACAAUGGCUAGUUGAAUGGAGAAAAUACAAUAGAGAGUCAAAGCUAUAACUCAGGAAAAGUAAGCAGCUAUAUAAUGGUAGUCAUAAGAACUGGAAGAUAUGGCUAACGGCAAGCUAAACAGCCCUAUGGUAGAUGCAAAACAUAGUGGUUAUAGACUCUAUUCUACCACGUAGCAGAUGUAAAAUAUAAGCUGUAUUAGACGAACAAAAUUUGCCUACCAAUUAGGCAAAAUUAAUCCAAAUAAUAAGGGAUAAAAACUAUAAGAUUUGAAACAUGGGAUUCGAUAAUACUGCCAUUGAACUAGAAUUGUACGAACUGAAGGUGGUCUUCUUCUUGGUCAAAAUAAAUAAACAAAUGUAAUUCCUUCAUCCGCACAAUCCCAUUCUAAAACUAUGAACUUAUGAUUCCAUACUACCGUAACACAGCAGAAAUAUAAUUCCAACAACGGCACGCGCUAAAUCUAAUAAUAAGUCUUACUGUAUCAAAUAAUCAUCAAGCAGAUGCAACUAGGCAUAUGUAUAAUUAAAAUCACAAGCAUCAAAAACUCUAAACAAAUAUUACAAAAAUGCCAACAUACAUUUCCAUUUUGCCGAUACCUGCGUACUCACAGAUGAAUUGCCCUUGCUUUAUGAAUUGAUCGGCAUAUAAACCCCACCCUUUAUUCACACUCCUCACAAUCUUCAAUCUCACCGAUAUUCCUCUCUGAGUCAACCGAUUCCCGCACUCAGACCCGCACCC